ACCCGAAAAAAAAUGGAUUUUUGGUUAGCUCUCGGGUAGCCUUCAUUGGGCUGUGUACCGGUACAGGGUUGAUGGCUGUACCGGUACAGGGUUGAUGGUUGUACCGGUACGUGAUUGUGUACCGGUACACAGGCAGCUUCCCAGCCAACCCGAGGGUCGGGUUUGGCAUUUUCGUGGGAUGUGUACCGGUACGUGGGCCCGUGUACCGGUACGCAGUGGCAGUUUUUGAGCAGUUUGAACUGUAGGGGGUUUUUCGCAAUUGUGGUCUUCUAUAUAGCACCCCAUGCCCCUUGGGGCUUUCCCUCAGCUGAGGAAGGAGGAGAAGGAGGUAAGAGAGCCCUCCUUACCAUUUCUUUGGAUUUAUACCCCUUUUUGUUGGGAUUUUGGUGGAUUUACUCCUCUUUUUGCCUUUUGAAGCCUUUUCUACCAUUGUUGAAGCUUGGAGCUUGGUUUUGGUGCAUGGUUGAGGGAAGAUCUUUGGACUUAGAGAAUUUAGAGCUUGGAUUGAUGCUUCUAAGAGGUAAUUUACUUGUUCUCUCCCUCUAGAAUUGAGUUUUAUUGUUGGAUUUGAGAUAAAACCCUAGAAUGGAGACUUAGGGUUUGAUUUGGGCAUUUUUGAUCUAGGGCUUUUGGAGCUAAAUUAAUUGGAUUAGAACCCUCCUUUUGGUUGGAUUGGAAGGAAUUUUGCUCUCUUUUGGAGCUUGGGAAAGAUUUUCUACUCCCUAGGUGAGAUUUUAGCCAUUUUGCCUUGAUGGUUAAUAUUUGAUCUUAUCGUUGAUCGUAAUGCCCGUGUAUCUCUUCGCUCCUUACUUUUAGGAUACUUAGAGACUCGUGGACAACUCCGUUCGGCGAAACGAAGGACUACGCGACGUUUCGGUGGGUUUAACCUAGCCACACAAUGAGAAAAUCUCAUUUGUGAUGAUUUGAGUAUCGUUAAAUGAUAAAGCAUGCAUAAUCAUGUUAUAUAUAUUUAUUAUGAAUUUUAGAAUGCUUAACAUGCCUAUGUAAUGUAUAGUAAAUUUUUGGAUCUCUAUGUGAUAUAGUGCAUGCAUAUGAGAUGUAGCAUUCUAGUUGAGACUUGGAACCAUGAUUCCUAUUAUGAAAAUGAACAUUACUUUCAUGCAUUUAACCUUCAUGCCCAAUUGUGACAUUAGGGACUUCGGAAGCCUAGAGAGGCUUGGGGACUUAGACUAUUUGAGAAUUUGGGCCAAUGUCAUAAAGAGGCAUUGGGCUCGGGCUAUAGUGAACAUUGGCAUUAAUGUCUUAAUUGGAACAUAGAAAAUGAAUUGGGCUUGAUUGGUUGUGAUGCUUAAGUGUCAUAAAGAGGCACUAAGCCAGUGUGUGUUGAGUUAUUACAUUGUGACAUAGAGCUAGACCGUUGGGAUACUAGUAGCUAUUGCCAUGUUUGAGACAUGAGGGUUGGAUACUUGAGCCUUUGACUACGCUUGCUUGCCAUUUGUGCUCAUUCGCACAUACUUGUGAGGGUCGCUCCCUACAAACCGGCACUUCGGAGUUAGCCUAUGCGACCUAUGUUCACUCGUGCGGUAUUGAGAAGCUUACGAGGUCGAGUGGGACAGACACAUUUCAAGAGCAGGAAUGUCGUGCUACCACAGGCACUUAGGCGGUACAAGCUGGACUACCUUGGGUAAGUCCUUAAUUGGAAAUUGAAAUCGACAUGGCGUCGAGUGGGUUUUAAUCUCUACUAGAUAGAGAGUAGUAAUUGGAUUACUUGGACUUGCUUCUAGCAUAGUUUUGGACACUUGAGUAUAUAUACAUACAUAUAGUAUGCUAGGAAAUGUUGCUUUUUGCAUUCAUAUGCACAUUGUUGCCAUGAUAAAGCAUGAUCUUCAUAACUUUAUAAAGUAAACCGUGACAAUUACUUGUCGCCAUGUAGAGACAUAUUGUUUAUGACAAGUAAAGGUGCAUGAUAUUAACACCAUGUUUAAUUGCAAUAUAGUAGCUUAGCACUUUAGUCGUGCUUUCAUAAAUACAAUUUAUUCAUUAUUAUUGCUCUCUUUUUAGACUUACCCUUUCUUUGGGGCCUAGUGGUGCAUUGAGCUGAGGUCAGUAAUUACCCACUGGGAACUAUAAAUUAUAGUUCUCACGCUCUCUGUUUUAUGUUUUCUUUCAGAGCCUUCCACGCCGGGAGAGGCUAGGGACAGUGGGAAGGGCGUUACUUCAAGCUAGCUCUUCAGCGAGAAACGAGUUGAUAGGUGGUCUACCUCUCGAUAUUUUUACUUUGGAGAGGUUGAGAGCUGUACCAGUGUAUUAGAGACCACCCUUUUGUGUACUAUUUUGGACAGACAUUGUAUAACUAUAUGUUUCACUUUUAUUGUUUUAGUAUUUUCUUUUACCUUGUGGUAGAUGAUAGAUCUAUUUGUGCUCUGAUAUCUCUAGAUGUUGAUUAUCUUCGGUUUAUUUUCCACUGUUGAUGUAAACGCCUUAUAUGUGCUGACAUAUGGCGGGUCUGGGCACGCUACCGGGAGGGCCUCUGCCGGUCCCGGGGCGUGACACCCAUUGUGCUUUACGCAACCUCGCACUUCUCGAAACUUGAACCAAAGCGGCCCCGCUAUUCGCCGGCCACGCUAUUUGCUAUUCGGCUAUAAGAAUUUAAAACUUCUGAAGCUAAAAGAUAAGAAAUGCGCGCCCCGCAACAGGGAUAAUAGUGCAACGCCCCGGAGCAACGCGAGGAAAAAACGGUACAACAACCCUGCUAACAGUGCAUCCAUUGGCUUGCUCUAGUGUAAUCUCCACUAAAGCAGAUCAGCGACGCUCGCCUUCAAUCUGCUCCCUCACCAGGGCAACCCCCCACUCCCACUUUCCGAAACCGUAAAGAGUAUAGGGGAGUUAGUGGAAUAAGCUUCGCCGAGCGACAUGGCUUUAGGGUCUGGAACUGGAGGAAGGAGGAGGUGGUUUCGCGGCGGCGAGGCAGGACGGUUAACGGCAGGUGCAGCGUUCGAGAGGUGCGACAUAACUGCUAAAACGAUUGAAUAAUAGUGUAAAAUUUCUCAUAAAUGCUCAUGUCCUUCUUUCAGCCGUAUAAUAAAUCCAUCGUUAAAUGCGAAUAAUAGUGUAAGACCGGGUGAAAGACUGCAAGAAAGCUUCUAACAGUGCAAUGCGGUCCUAAUAAUAGAGUAACAUUCAAUUUAACAAUGCAAUGUAGUUCCGACCAGGGUAACACAACCAGUGGAACACUGAUAAUAAGAGUCCCAAUAAUAGUUCAAUUCUUUAAAGAAAUUGUGCAACGAGUCGUUCAGCAGUGUAAAGUUUUCUCCCCAAUUGUUGAUAACAUGUAAUUAAUAGUAAAAACAAGUCCGUAAAAACACGAUUAAUAGUCCAAAGCGUGAUAAAAGAGGUCAACUAAUCUUGUAAGAGUGCAAUACGAUGGUAAUAAGAGUGCAAUGGUAUGAAAAAUAGUGCAACUAAGCUUGUAAGAGUGUAAUACGGUAGUAAUAAUAGUGCAAUGAUUUGAAAAAGAGUGCAACACUAGCUUAAUUGAGUAUUUUUAAACUUAAUAGUGCAACCCAAUCUAAAUUGAUGCAAUACGCAGAAUUAUUAGUAUAAGUCGUCAUUAACAAUUGAUCAAAAUAGUGCUACAUUGUUUGCUAAAUAGUAUAACAACUUUGUAAGCAAUCCAUUAAUCUGUGAAGAAGAAUUAUAUUUUCUUUGAUGCAGAUUACACGAUUUUAUAGUACUUUGCCACAUACAAGAGGAUUUGCAUACAAUACAACGUUCUAUUACAUCAACUAUAACAAACUCUUCAUAAUAAUUAAUUAACAAAAAUAUGGAAUCAUCUAAGCUUGUCUGCAAUUCCACGCGCAUAGAGCCGACGCUAAUAGGUAUAGGUGGCCAGAGGAGAGUGACGAAGGAGACUGCGAGGAGGAUUCGGCUCGCUCGGAAGGAUACGAUCGAGCAACGAGGCAUUAAGAUUGAUUCGCACUAUCUGGAAUGUUUUAUUUACCUCGAGCCCUUUGGAGCUCCGCUUUACUAUGAAAUAGACAGUACAAUCAGCAAAACAUUAGAAUCCAUCAAUAACAAUAAAGAUCUGCAAAAAUUUAAGAACCUAAAAGAAAGGAAGGCCAAUGGGCUCGUGGCAAAUAAAGCACUCCAGAUAGUGUGAAUCAAUCUUAACGUCUGGUUGCUCGAUGAUACCCUUCCGAGCGAGCCGCCUGCUCCUCGAACUCUGCUUCGGCUCUCUAUCGUCGUUGCCUAAACAUCCUGGAUGAACUGUAGUCUCAUCGCAGGCGUUGUGGCAGUUGUGGCGACGCAUCUCUUCAUAAAGGCGACAAGGUUAAGGCGACACUACUUUUGGUCAAGGAAGCGAAUGUGACGAACGGGGUUCACCGCAAGCGCAGGUGAAGCGACGUCAGAGAAGGAGGCCCUUUGUAUUCCCGUUCCAAUCACUGUGGUGGCGCCGUCGACUGCGUACGCAUCUCUGCAACCCGGCGCCAGCACCGCCAUAGCAAAUACGAGGAGCCCCCUCCUGCGACGCCACUGCACUUCCUUUUACGAUGAACGCUGUCCGUUGCUUUCACUUCCGUGACCAAAGAUAAUGUUGCUUUAACCUCGUUGUCUUUACGAGAAUGCAUCCCAUAUAUAAAAAAAACGGAAAUACAUUUGAAGAGCCGCUUUCACUUCUUGAGGUGUCUCUUCGCCUCACCUAAUCGAGUAUAACGUACAAGUUUGUGUAGGAAUUCUUGCCGAGCAUUAAAUGCGGCUUGCGUGGAAACACAGUCUUCGGGCCACGUUAUUCUAUUCGCAAGACCCAGUGUUUGUUGUUCGGUUCUCUGAGAUUUGGAAGAAGACGCAACCAAUGAUUUGAUUAUUGAUGCAAAUGGAAUUGAAAUAGUGCAACAAUCCUAAAACAGAGCAGUGCAACUUUUUUUGCAAUAAUAUUUUAAUUUUUAACCAGAGAAAAUGAUGCAACGAGACCAUAAAUGGUGUAACAAUGGUGAAAACAGUGCAAACAGUCUUCCCUAAAUAGUAAAAAAAAUUCCUAAGCAGUGCAACGAGCAAUUCAUUUGAAGAACCAAUGGGUAAAGAGUGAAAAUGCACUUGUAGUCAUUCGAUUCUGUACACGCUGCUUUCCCUUUCCGAGGAGAAAAGCCCAUUGACAUUGCCCUUAUGAUGCAAUAACGCAUCUCGAGAACCGAACGUAAUCUUAAUGAUGUCGCUGACGAUAUUUCUUGUUGAGGUGCUAUUGAAAAAUGGCGCUAAUACCGAAACAGAAAUGUAGAACAAUAAUUUGAAAUAUCGGUACAAUGGAUAACGGUUUAGUGUAAUACUAGUCACAAUUAGUGUAAUAUACUCACAAGCAUUGUGAUAAUCCGCCAAAAUGGUGCAAGAGAUGCGCCGUUUUGUAAUAAACUGUCGGCGGUUGAAGGCUAUGCUAACGUUGCAUGCAGAGAUGUUGGAAAUAAAUUAUGGCGGGAAUGGACCUACCUUUUUCCGCCUCUUGUAGAACUUACCAACUCAUGCAAGUUAACUGAAUUAUAUUUUUAUAAAAGAGUGGUAUUGAAUUACUAUGAGCUAAGUUUAUUGUUUCCAACUCAUGGAUAACGUUGAAGUUCCAGUGCACUACCAUUUUAAUGGCUUCUUUCAGGAGGAUAAAGGUCAGGUCAAGUAUGUAGGAGGAUCCUGCCAGCUCGCUUUCAUCGGGCAAGGGAAGAGUUUUAAUUCCCUGCGAGCAUGGUUCUUCAAAUACAUGAAUAGUUCACUGAAAAGCUGCAAGAUUGAAAUUAAACUUUGUUAUAGUGGAAAAAUCGGCAAACUCAUCGAUAUUGUUGAUGACGAUGAUGUCCGAAAUAUGUCGAGACUCUAUAAAAGCCACACAUUUUCGAUGGAACUAUAUGUCGUGAGUAAUGUAGUUGAGAAAAAGGUUCCUAUAUGUGAUCCCGAUGACAUAGAUGAGGUGCUUACGGACGAACGGCUGGACUGUUGAUUAGCAGCCGUUCUGCGGAUGCAUCUACAUCUACACAUCAGCCGCCAAAUUUUGAAAUAGUUGGCUCGCAAGUUGCACUAUUGGUACUCUUUUGCACCAUUACCUUUUACCUGUUGCACCCGUAAGCACAUUAUAUUUAAUGGUUGCACUAUUCCAUAUAUUUUGCACUACUAACCAGUUACCAUGCACUGUCAGGUAAUAUUUUGCACCAUUAUCUUUUACCUCUUGUACCUAUAAGCACUUUAUAUUUAAUGGUUGCACUAUUACAUAUUUUUUGCAUUGCUAACUUGUUAUGAUGCACUGGUUGGUAAUCUUUUGUAUCAUUAUCUUUUACCUCUUACACCCGUAAGCACUUUAUAUAUAACGGUUGCACUGCUACAUAUAUUUUGCACUACUUACUAGUUACAAUUCACUGCUUGCACUUCACUGGUGCUGUAGAUCCUGCCAUCCUAUUCUCAUCGAUGAUGCUGAUACGACAAACAGUGACGGAGGUAUUAUUAUCACUGAUCUGAAAGACUAGGCGGAUUCCGACGAUAGCAUCCGUAUCGUCACAUCUUCUCCCGAUGGAUUUCAUCGGACAUACAACGCCAUGGAUGUUGUCCUAUUGCGCCAAAGCGACGCAAUGGGACUUACUGCUAAGCAAUUCGAUGACGACGAGAUAGAAGAAGACCUCAUCGUGAACAGCGCUACGAUAGAGUCAGAUUGAACUGUCACAGAUAUGGACGAUGUCCACGAGGGCCAGCUCUACAAGACACAAGGCGACUUCAAAAGAGUUCUGAAAGCAUACGCCAUGAAAAGAGGUUUUGAGUACGCUCCCACCAAAUACAACGACCUUAAGAUAACCGUAUGAUGUCGUAUCGCAGAUUGCCCGUGGAGAAUAAAGACGCAUCACGUACCAAGACUUACACAAUGGUGGGUAAAGAAAUUUGAUUCGAAACACACUUGUAGUAGGGCAAUAGGGGGAUUCGGCCACAGGAAUUGCGAUGCAGCAUUUAUCGCAGCAUUUGUUAGGAAGCAGGUCAUGGCAAACGAGAAAUACACACCGAAGAUCGUUCAGACCGAGAUUCUGCAGCAGCAUGGCGUCAGAAUUUCCUACUGGAAAACCUACCGGGCCAGAAAAAGAAUCCUUUAGGAGGUGCAUGGCGAUUUCGAGGGCUCAUUCGCUGCACUUCGGUUGUACAUGCGAGAGCUGAGGAAUGGUGAUGCGGAUGCAUGUCUUCAGCUACUUUAUCAGGACGAGGGUCAUUUUCACUAUUUUUUCUGGGCAUUCGGUGCAUUGAUUCGUGCAUUCUGGAAGCACCGCGGGCCGCUAUUUGGACUGGCUGGUACGAUCUUGCACUAAUAAGCGAUGUUCACACCAUUAUAUAAAUAUGUUGCACUAUUGUAUAUUAUAAUGAUGCUAAAUACAAUAUUUUGCACGAUUACGCACUAAUAUAUACUCUUUGCAAUUCUUCCAAAUACUUUCCUAACUGGUAAGUUUAGAGGUGCUUUGCUAACGGCAUCAUGUAUUGAUGAAAAUAACUGCAUACUGCCAUUAGCGUGGGCAGUUGUGGAAGGUGAAAAUCGCUAUUCACUACUACAGAUACAAGAUUUAGUGGCGACAAAUGUCGCCACCAAAGCCAAAAUUGUCGCCACGAAAAAUAUUUUGGCGGCGACAAUUCGUCGCCGCAUGCCGCCGCCUAUAACCCCGUCGGUAAAACUAUUUGGUGGCGACAAAAUGUCGCCGCUAAAAGUUAGAUAAUUAGCGGCAACAACCUGUCGCCGCGAAAAAUUAGAGAAUUAGUGGCGACAUGAUGUCGCCUCUAAAAGUUAGAAAAUUUAGAUAAUUAAUGGCGACAUUUUAUCACUGCUAAAUAUUUGGUGGCGACAAUUUGUCUCCACUAAAAGUUAGAUAAUUACCUACGGGGCCUAGUUAUAUGGUGGCGACUAUUGUCGCCACUAUUUUUCUGAUCGAAAAUUAUUUUUUGAGAAAAAAUAAUUGGUAGUAAUAGAUAUUAUUGAUUUAAUAUAAAUUGCUAAAAAUAACCUAUAAUUAUAAUAAUUUCUCGUUCUUAAAUUUUAACCUUUAAUUUCAAUUUAAUCCUCUCAGAACAAAAUUAAACCCAAACACUAUGGCUCAAACACCUUAGAACCAAUAUAUAUUAAAUCUAAUUGAAUAUCUAUAAGUAUUUAAUCAUAAAAUUAAUCCACACAAAUAAGUAAGACUGAAUCAAACUUUAAAUGUUAGAGUAUCAUUGCAUUGUCACCUAAUACACCCAACACAACAAAAAAACAAAACACAAUAAUAGUGUUUUUGUCAUUUCUACAUGCUAUCAAAUGUAAAGUUUUCAAAAUAUGUCAAGUUUACUUAAACUUGAUUCAUAUAUCGUCAAAAUACUGCCAAAAUUUUUCUCGCCACCACCUCUUAUAAAUCUGCAAAUAAAAAUAAAAAAAAAUUAGCAAGUCCUCCAACAAUUAAACCUGCAACAGAAAAGUGACAAGCUUAUCAUCUUUUCCACUAUAAGCAACAUUCAAGAUUAAUUCAGAAGCCUAGUUACUUGACAACAGUAUUGCACAAAUACAAAAAAUGGAAAGUACCUCAAGCAGGGUAACCUAAAAAUUCUAAAUUAUGAAACUUAAUCCAAAUAAUAACUAUUAUUCCUGCAUUUUUCUACUUAAAAAAUGCAUCAUCAAACAACGCUGCACCUUGAAUCGCCACUUAUAGUUAGGACAAGUCAUUGAACAGAGCUAAUGGAAUUGUAGUGGGUUCCAUCGGACAACUUUACCUUUACCGUCUACAUUUAUCUUGUGCUUCCAGUUAUAUGGAGACUCUUUUCAUAAGUAACGAAUAGUUCCUAUGUUGUGCCAGUUGUGAUCUGGAGUAAUGAUUCUCUUAAGCAUCUUUCCACGCCGGAAAUUUUUUCGGAAAAAAAAGGUCAGUUUAGAAACAAAAAGAGGAGCUUGCAGUUCAUUGUCUUUCUUGUCCCAAGAAUCAUCAUGCACUACCUACAAAAGAGAAAAAGAAUAAAAGUUAAAACAAUGUAAACGUAAAUCAUGCAAAUAGAUUUUGAAUAAUAAAGCAAAUAAGCAACUCAUAAAAAUCCCUAAUGAUUUCAUACAUCUCAUCAGCACUCUCAUAUUCAAAUAGUUUAGAAUUUAUUCGCAUAAAAAAGAUUAAGAAUGCCUAAGAAGUAUUUAAACAUACAGGAACUGAAUUGGAAAUUCUUUUUAUUAAUAAAAAGGACAAACUUUUUGCAACUUGACAAAGAGUUCAUUAGCGUUUAACAUCAAAGUCAAAAUCAAGAGGACAAAUCAAAAAAGCAAAGAUAGAAAAAAUUACAGUGUUUAACAUCAAAAUUAAAAGCCCAACUAGCUCGAGCUCAGGUCUGUUGAGAUCCAAAUCUUAACCUGCCUUAAAAAUGGAGCUUCGACACGAAAACAAACUAAGUUGGAACAAAUGGCUGAAGUGAAAACUUUCUACAAGUUCAGGGACUAGAUUACUUGAGUAUAUACAGUGAGAACUGAAGUGAAGUUCUCCACGAAUUGUCAUGCAAAAAUUUAUACGUGAGAACCGCAUGAUGCUAACGAAACAACAGAGGUUAGAGACGCAAGAGUCAAAUCAGUAUGAUGAACAAUCAUUCUGUAUUCCAUCGUUCAAAACAAGAACAUAACAUGUUGUUUUUCAUUUUGGGAAAUUAACAAAGAAAGAUAUUUUUGCCCACAUUAAAAAAGUGGUAAUAAAAGUUAGACCUUCCAAAGGCUUGUCGAAGUUGUUGAAGCACAUAAUUGUCACCUUCAACUGCAGAAGCACUUCUCGCCGUUGUUUUUGGUGCUUCUGAUUCAGCGCAAGCUCUCAAUACCGCCUCAUUCUGCAAUAGUUUGUUGCACAUUUAAGUUCAUAGAUUAUUAUAAUUUGAAGACAAUUUUCCAAAAUUACACAUCAUGAAAUCACUGCUGCACAACGAAAAGUGGUCAAAAAAUGUAAAAGGAACGGAGAGAAAAAGUAGGAGGCAGUUCUGUUAGUAGGCAAUUUUGUCGUUGGUUACAAGGUUGUCAAAUUCAAUUGGUGAUAUCCUAUUCUAUUCCUUAAUGUCUUACACCUAACUUUUGUCGCAUACCUACCCAAAGUAAAUGGGCAUCAACGAUUGUUAAUUUGUGACUUAUUAAAUAACGUGAUGAUUAUAUGGCUUGGUUUCUUGACCUCUUUUCUAGUACUUGCCACCAACCUGUAUACUGUACUAAUUAACAUGUAACAAAUAGUUGGUGGAGAUAGUACACCAACCUGUAUACUGUACUAAUUAACAUGUAACAAAUAGUUGGUGGAGAUAGUACACCAACCUGUAUACUGUACUAAUUAACAUGUAACAAAUAGUUGGUGGAAUAGUAAGGCUCCAGCUGACAAUAAGUGUACUGGCUUCAACUAAAUCAUUUCCUCUGCUUUUGCAAAAUGGAAAGAGCGUCCAUUUGUAGAGCUCUGGAGUUAUCACUCGUGGAAGCUUAGUAGUUCCAUUACAACUUAUUAAAUGCAGCUUUAGUAAAAGUUACACAACAAAUCAUUUUACUAGAAGCAAAAAAGAGUUAGAAAAUUAAAAUGGUAUCAGUAAACCACAACCAGAAUCAAGCAUUGGGGAUGAUAUUAUAUAUGAAGAAUGGACAUAGCAAUCAGAAUGACAAAGUGCUUGUCUAAUGUAUUCAUGACAUAACCUUUAAAUGGAAGAGCUCACAAGGUGACCACAAGACCAACAUAGUUCUAUGGUUCUAGAUAAGGGGCAAUUAGAAACUCUUCAAUUAUAAGAACAGUUUACAAUUUGACAACUUAACUAAGAAAACUAUCAAUAUGAUGGACGGGCAGAGCUACUACAGAAAAAAUAAGGGAAUUACUAUCCAGCUUCAGCACGUCCAACAACACUGCAGGAAGGGAUAAAGAGGAAACUCAGUGAAUUCUAGUAAAAAAUACCACAGAGCAAAAUGGUCUGCAAAUCUAUCUAAUUUAGAUAUAAAAUCUAAUUAAUUUCAAUAAAUGAAUGGAGUAUUAAGUAAAAUUCAGAGAAGCAACAACAUGGAUAUUAACAAAACUUUGUUCAGUAAAUAGACUUGGUAAUUACAAAUUCACUAUCGCCAAAAUUUAGAACUGAUUUGUAAUAUAAUCAAUAGAAGUUCCAACUAUAGCAGUAAACGAGCCAAAAGCCUGGGAUAAAGAGACAUGAUGAAUGUAAGUUCCCAUCCAAUAAAGCAAGAACUUCAUAUAGUGAGCAACCAAUACAUCAAGCAAUCUAUUCUAGUUGCAAACAACCCUUAAGUAUUAAACUUCCCCUCAUUUGUCCAGGUCAAUCUUGUCUAUAUCAAAUACAUUUCAGACCAUGAAGAAAAAUUAUCCAUCUCCCUUCUGCUUCACCAUUCCCUUUAUUUCCUUAUUGCCAAAUAACAGAACGCAAAAGUAUCAGGAAUUUUACAACAUCAAUCACAGGAAAUUUAGAUAUCUAAUUUUUCUUAAUAUAUAAAAUUUCUUUUUUCCCCCAUUUACUUGGUAAUCUGUAAGUCCAAAACACAAUAAAAUUAUAGUGCAAAUUAUCAAAGAUGUCCAGUAAUUGCUCCCAAUUAAUAUCAUGUUAUCAUUCAAGAACUCUUGUCCUAUGCAUUGUGGCAAAUACACAAUUAAUUAGUAAAGAGAGAAAUUACUCAAAAAAUUACGAUAGGGAUGGCAACGGCUGCUGCGGCGAUGACUGAGAGACAAUGAAGCAUCCACAUGAACUAGCGACCGAGAGGCAACGGGUGAAACAAGCUGCGAGCUAACAAAGGGCGUAGAGUGCAGGGUGACAAGCUGCGAGCUAACAAGCUGCGAGCAUCCACCGCCGUCGGGAAGAUAUCAAGGAUGAGCGAUCUAGGGUUUGUGGCACGCACCUUUGAAGAUGAGCUUCUGGCCACGGGGGAGGAUGUUGGUAAGGGGUUGGAUUAGGGUUUUGAGGUCAACCUCAAAGGCGGUUCCACCUGCGGGUUUGGCUAGAAGACGGGUACCUGCGGCUUCUGGCCGCAGGGGAGGACGAGGCGGCGCGCGUUUGCCCACGGCGAGGGAGGAUGUUGGUGAGGGGUUGGAAGCCGCUCGUGGGGGUGCUGGAGGACGAGGCGGCGCAGCUAUGGAAGCUCCCGAUGAAGACCACAGUGGCGAGGCGGAGGGGACGAAGAUGGGUAAACUUGCAGAGAGAGAGAAAGAGUAAUAGGCAAUGUAAAAUUUUAUUUACAGCUGUAAUUUUAUUAAGUUUUUUUUUAUGUUAAAAGACAAUAAAGUCCCUAGGCCUUAUGUAAUAGAUGUUAAAUAAGUGAGGGUAAAAUUGUCAUUCUGAAGGAAUGGGUUGGUGAGUGGCGAAAAAAAGAGAGGGAAGUUAUGGCGCUCUUCAUAAGGAUAUAUCGCGGCGACACCUUGUCGCCACCAUUUUCUACGCAAUGGCGGCGACAAAUAAAUGUCGCCACCAUUUCCUAAGAAUCAGCGGCGACAAAUAAAUGUCGCCGCCAUUUCCCAAGAAUCGGCGGCGACGAAAAAAUGUCGCCGCCAUUUCCUAUGAAUCGGCGGCGACAAAUAAAUGUCGCCACCAUAUUAAAUACAUUGGUGGCGACAGUGCUUGUCGCCACCAAAAAGUCGCCACUAAAUAUCCCUUUUGUUGUAGUGAUUCCUGGCACUGGUUUCUAGAAUAGUUCCAGGAUAGUGUCGUCGGUGAUCACGACGUCAGUAGAGAAAACAAUAUACUUACUAUUAUUUCCAAUCGACAAAAAGGUUGGAUUGAAGAUGUAUCCGAUGUUUUUUCGGAUGUACCUUAUGGUUAUUGCAUGUACCAUCUGUCUACCAAUUUCUCGCACGCGCCAAAAAAUACCUCUGCGUGGAGAAGAUUUUGGGUGGCAGUGCGUGCUUACACCAUCACGGAGUUCAACGAAUACAUGGAGAAGAUGAAGGAUUUGAACCCGGAAUAGUAGAAGUAUGUGGUCAAGCUUCCUCGGUAUAGGUGGGCUAUCCAUUGUUUCCUUGAAAGGCGUUAUUCAAUGCUCACUUCCAACUGUGCCGAGACGAUAAAUAGCGUUAUUCGACAUUUAAAGAGUCUUCCAAUUAACUACCUGGUCGAGGAAACACGAAAGAAAACAGUGUGGUAUUUUUACCAGAGAAAAAAUACUAGAGAGAAGAUUACCAGUGUUUUAACGCUAUAUACAAAAAAGAUAUUAGAGAGCUCGAGGGAAGCGUCCUGCUUUUACACACUGAACCAUUCGACCGAUGUCCUUUUUCAGGUCUUGUUGUCUAUUUUGCACUAUUUUAACACUAGUUUGCACUACUUAUGAAUAGGUUACACUAAUGUUGGAACGUAUUGUACGAUAUCACAUAAUGUUGCACUAGUGUAAGUGUAACAUACCACAUCCCUCGUAAAUCGUGCCGAGUUUCGUCGAAACGAGCGGAACGCGGAGUGGAACGAGUGGGUAUAGGCGCUAGGUGUAUUGGAGCCUAUAUAUGGUGCAAAGGGACCCGAGAGAGUGAGAUUUCAAAAUCUGGCUAAGUCCCAGAUUUUGUACUCUUGGGGACCGGUCCCUGAAGGAGAGACCGGUCCCCGUGCGCGUAGCCUGCCAGAAAAUCCUGAGGCAUUCGGUCCCUGGUGGUGAGACCGGUCCUCGGGAGACCGGUCCCUUGGGGGAGAGACCGAUCCCUCGCUGCGCAGCAGCUGAAAAAGCCUGAAAAUCGGCUAAGUCCUGGAAAACCCCCGUUCGGGAACCGGUCCCUGGUCGGGGAGACCGGUCCCCGAAAGCGAAAAAUGCCCAGUCUGGGCAGAUCAAUAGGAAACAAGUGGAGAGGCUUAAGUGUAAUUGUUACAACACUAUAUAUGGCCCAUCCCCUCUUUCCCACAGCAUUUCUCUCAUCCUCUCUCAUUUUCUCUCUUUCUCUCUCUAGAACCCCUCUAGAGCUUGGAGAAGAAGAAGAAGAACUUGGAGAAGAAGGUGGAUUUGGUGCUUUGGAGGUUCUAGGAGCUCUCCAACAAGAAGAACCUUGGUGGAACUUGGAUUAGAGGUAAGUUUUGUAAGGUUUUCCUCUAGGGUUUGGGUUUUGGUUUGGAGAAUUGGAGCUUUGUGUUCCUUAGGGGCUUUAGAGGCUCAUUUAGGCCAUGAACAACAAGGUAUCCAUGAGAGCUCAAGGUGCUCUCAUGGUGAACCCUUGGAAGUUGGGUUAGGAGCCCUAGGGUUGGUUCCAAAGGUCUAGAAACCUUCCUAGGAUGCUCCUUAGAUGAUUCUAAGCUAUUAUUUGCUUAGGGUUGAGAUCGAUUCAUGAGGAAACCCUAAAUGACAUUGUUAGGGCUCAAAUUUGGGGCUUUUGCCCUAGAAUUUUUCGGGGGCAAAUUGACCCCGUAGAACUAAAUUGGGGGUCAAAUAAACACGUUGGACAACCCCGUUUGACGAAACGAACAUGUUUAAGAAUAGUUCAUGUAUACAAGUGUGACGCCCCAACUUCCCAGGGGGUCACCCAUCCUAGGACUACUCCCGUCCUAGCACGCUUAACUCUCUUAACCUCUUGGGUCUUGCCACCACCCAAAAUGCUUAAGCCGGGUUAAGAGUUUAGCCCUAUUAUAUCUCAUAUAUAGGACUAUCUGGGGUCUCACAAUCUCCCCUCCUUUAAGCCCUGACGUCCUCGUCAGGCUCAGACUCACAAGUACCAGGCGAUGUGAGACUCGUCUCGCUAGCCCGUCAUCCAGACCCUGGCUCAACCGAGACUCAUCUCACACUUCCGGCUGGUAAUUGGCUCUGAUACCAUCUGUGACGCCCCGACUUCCCAGGGGGUCACCCAUCCUAGGACUACUCCCAUCCUAGCACGCUUAACUCUCUUAACCUCUUGGGUCUAGCCACCACCCAAAAUGCUUAAGCCGGGUUAAGAGUUUAGCCCUAUUAUAUCUCAUAUAUAGGACUAUCUGGGGUCUCACAACAAGGGCCUAAUUUGGCACCAUUUUGGAUUGUAGGACGCGGAUCGUCGUUCGUAGCAUUCGGGAGUUUCGUAUUCUACACCCACACGAUUACGAGAGGCGGGGGGUGCACGCCGGAAUCGUUGGAUUCCCUUCUAUGUCUAUUUCUCUAUUCUUGAGCAUAUGGUUGUUUAUUCCUUCAUGCAUAUUAGGGUUAAUGCACAUGUGAACUUUGGUUGUUUUUAUUACGUUUAUCUCAGGGGUAUUUGAAAAUGGAGAUAAAUGGAACCAUGAUGGACAUGAGUUAUUGAACCCUAGGAAUUGCAUGAUAGUGGGACUUGGACUUAGCAUAAGUAAACAAAUGGUGACAAUGACAAUAGAGAGAUAGAUUGGCUUAGACAAAUGGAUGUUAAACAUAGAUUUAACUAUAGUGAUAUUGUGACGAGAUCGACUAGAAAGUAACAUGAAAAUAUAGGUAGAAAACCUAUUACAAAAGUGGCAACGUGACAUGUGGCUUAAUAUCCUCAAUGUGGGGAUUUGAUCGAUACUCAUGAUAAGUCUUGGCUUGAGGGAAGUCGCUCUCCCUCAAGCGGUGUGUUUUCGAAAAUCGACACCACAGGGAGCGAGGUCCCUGAAGACGGUCCCUCAGGUCGGUAGUGCUUGGAGCCUCCCCGGUAAAGAAAGGGAUUUCGGGUUAUGAGUUUUUGGGGUUAACACGGUUAAUCGGCAAGAUUGGGUAAGAGCUAGAGCUUAAUUAUGAUUUGAGCAUGCAUGCAUUUUUCAUUAUUGUACUGAGUAUUUGUAUCCACUGACAUUCUUCUGCAGACAUAGUAUUAGAUGCAUUAGUAAUGGUUAUUUUUUUUCCUUGAAAUACUUAUGCCUGGAUAGACUUAGUGGGUAAGUCGGCGAGGUCGGAUGCCGAACCCACUGGGAACUCCGUUGUAGUUCUCACUCCACUAACCUUACAGGUCCUAGCACGAGCGGGGCGGCGGAGGACCGAGGCAAGGGUAUAGCGCCGUAGAUAGCGGCCACCGAGACUUUAUGCAUUUUGUAGCCAAUUCCCUUUUGUGUAUACAUGCAUCAACUUUAUUUUGUUGACUCCGGGAUGUAAAGCUGUAAACAAUCAUGUAAAAAAAUUGGUGGAUGGCUAAAUGUAAAAAGAUAUGAUGGAUGAAUGAAAUGUAAAGUUUUAAUUACUCGUAUUUGAUUUAAAUUUAAUCAAAUAUCAUGUAUGUUGUACAUUUAGCUCAAAGCUUUCGCUUCCGUUGCUGCUUGCCCUUGUGCAAGUCUUGUAUUAUAUAUGCAAAUCUCUUGUGGAUUGCUUAUUUAUACAUGUUGUUAGAGCCUUGGGCGGACAGGGGAGGCUCUGUCCGUUCGGCGUCUGUUGACGUGACCCGAACCCGACCAAAUUGGCGGGGAUUGGGGCGUGACAGUAAGUAUUUUAUGUAGUUUAUCUCUACUCAUUGCACUAUUUGUCUCACCAUUUUCCUCUGGCUAGUGGUUUUCUAGGUAAUUGCACCCAACAGUACAGAGGUUGUGGAUCUUUCAAAAAUGACAUGUUCCUGCAAGCGUUGGGACAUUGACGGCAUCCCAUGUAAUCACGCCAUGGGAGCAAUUUCAUGUAGGCUGCGGAAUCCGUAUGAUUUUGUAGAGAACUGGUUCAAGACCUCGACUUAUCACGCAACCUACAACGAUUACGUCCCCCUUACUAGAGGCAAAGAGCAUUGGCCUGAAAUACCAAGCAACACUGUUCCGCCGCCGCCGCCAAACAUGCGCAUACAGCCGGGGAGAAGGAAGGUUGCGCGGAGAGAGUCCAUUUCUAACGGCCUGUUAAAGAAACGGUGCGGGAAUUGCCAAAGGUGGGGGCACAACAAAAGAUCAUGCAAGAACCCUCCUCUGGCCAGAACAAACCAGCCACGCGCGACGACAUCUGCAGGCGCAAUGCAGGAAACAGCGAAAAAUCCUCCGUCCAUAUUGUAAUAGUUCAAGACUCGUUGAUAAUAGUAUAACGUAGAUGAUAAUUGUUCAAGACUCUUUGAGUAAUAGUGUAAAGAGGAGGAUAACAGUUCAACAGUCUUUGUAACUAGUGUAACAAAGACCACAACAGUUCAACAGUCUUUGCUACAUUGCUUAACAGAUAUAAAAGCUUACACUACUUAGAAAUUAUAUGCGCCGAUACUUGAUGUGUUACACCAUUACAAGUAAAUUUCGAAUCAUUUAUUUAUAACAAAUGUAAUGAGAAUAUUAAUAUUUACACCGAAUGUUCAAAUGUGAGAAAAAUGACAAUAUAAAUUCAAGAAUUGUUAAUCGAAUCAUUGCAAGUAAAAGAGCAGCAAAAAUUCUGCUGCUAUCUCGCCCCGUUUCUUCGCCAUAUUCUCCUGGGAGAAGUCCAUGUUCCACCCCUUCUACAUGUAUUCUUCGUAUGUCAAAAUGAAAAUUGCGCAAUCAUUUGACUAAUCUUGCAUCGGGAUGUCUUUUAUGUUGAUCUUGCUCCUAGUCAAUGGGACGGGUCUCACGGCGGCGAAACAAAUCGGGAAGUUUAUUUUGCCAAAAAUUUUCUACGAAAUCACACUGUAUAAGAGAAUGUUGCACUAAUUAGAAAUAUAACAGGAUAAUCCUUGCACAAUAUUAAACUAUUAAAGAAAUACUUACCGCUUUUUCAAACCCAACAUUGUAUUUAGCAUUUUUAAUGGGCGAGAAGUGGAGGUACUUCCCUUCUUGGAGAUCAACUGUCAGCAAAUGCCAGUAAUCGAAGUUGAAGAGCGGGAUGGACCAAUACUUCGCUUCACUAAUUACCCCCUCGGUCAAAUCGUUCAAAAACAUGUCGGCCGCAAUUGCAGUACCUAUGGUAUGAUAAAAAAAAAUCGUGGAGUAUAUGUGUAAUAUACCGAACUUCUAUAGUCAUGAAGUUUUGGUGGAUGUUAGGAGCCAUUGGAAUCGUUCCGGCGAAGUUCGGGAGUGUUCGGGGGUUUUCGGUGCGCGUUGGGCGCGAAAACGGAGCCCGAAAGGCUAUGUUGGACCAUGGACUAAAUUCAGCAUAAGCGUGGAUGAAAAGAUGGUUUAACCACGGUCGAAAAUGUGUUUCAGGUGUCUCGGUGCUAUUUGAGGUGAAUCGGAGCCCCCAGGAGCGAGAACGAAGCAAAACGGAAAAAAGGUUGAAAAUUGGCUAAGUGCUAAAAUUACUGGGCUGGGAGGACCUAUGGGGUACGGACCCUCUGGCCAAGGUCCAGACCCCGAGAGUGAAAUCUGCCCAGUAAAGGGCUGAUGGCAGUUUUGUAAUUAGGAGGAACUUUAUAUAAAGGGGCUUCUUCUCCCCUUUCUUCUCCUUCCCAGCCAACACACACACACCCCCACACCUUCUAGUGAGAGAAACUCUCUCCCUCCCUCUAGAAUACUCUCUCCUCUCUCUAGAUCUCUCUCUCAAAUUCGGAGGGUUGGAGAGAAGGAGCUUGGGAACGCGUUGGAGGUGUCGGUUCGGGUCCUCGUGCACCCGAUUGCGCGGCAUGCGUCCGUCUCGGCAUUCACAUUUUGGUAAGUGUUGGGAUUUUAAUUAAAUCCUUCAUGAAUGAUAUUCUAGUAAUUCCUAGAGUAUAUUAUGCAUGUUACUCCAUAUAUUUUUGGGGUAUUUGGGGAUGUAUUAAGGCUAGGACUUCAAAUUGGGGGUUUUUAGUGAAUGAGGGUUUUGAUAUCAUUUAACCCUUUAAUCCUCUAAUUGAAGGUUAGAGUUGAACCCUUGAUGACCCUACAUUGCGGAUUGUUGGGCGUUCGGUGAUCGUUUGCACGUAGAGUCGAACCGGAUCACGUGUACCGCAGGAGCCUGAUUGCAAGUGACUACAAGCAAUCGGAGAGCGAUAUUAGGUAGGUUAUGCUUCACCGAAGUGAUUAAGUCACUUUCAAGCCAAAGUGAAGUAUGAAUGUUGUUGAUGCAUGUAUAGUUGGUAGGUUGUAUUUGAUAAUGUGAAUACCUAAAUCAUAUUAUGCUUGAUAUUGUUACCUACCAUGAUAUGCUAUAUGAAUGCAUGAAGUAGAGGCUAAUCAAGAAUGUAUGAGAUAGAUGCUAGUGAUGAAUGCAUAGAUAUAUGCUAAGUGAAUGCAUGAGUUAAAUGCUAGAUGCAUGUACAAGAUGUAUGCUAAAUAAAUACAUGAGCUAGAUGUAUGAGCUAGAUAUUAUAUAAAUGCAUGAUUUAGAUAUGAAUGCAUGAUUGAGAUGCUAAUAAAGAAUAUGUAAGAUAUAUGGUAGUCAAGGAUGCAUGUGAUGUAUUGACUACCAUUGAAUGAUAAAGACAUGGGCAUGAGUAAGCAAAUAGGAUAUGUAUGCCUAGAUAAGAAUGUGAACUAAGAUCAAUGAACUCUAAGUAAAGUAAAGAACUCGACGAGUGUAGCAUGUGAACUAAAAAUCCUAAAUAUAAAUAACUAGGAUGACAAAUAUUGUGAAUGGCAUUGAAACCUAGUGUUGUUGAACGUAGGUGAAUCACGAGUGGCAUUGAACCUGGAGUCAAGUAAAACUAGGUUAUGACAUGAGUGGCAUUAAACCUAGGUUAUGAAUAUAGUGACAUUGAACCUAGAGUCAAAUGAACCUAGGUAGUAAAGAACAAUGGAUCUAGUGUUAAGGAACCUCGGCUAUGAGUAUAGUGGCAUUGAACCUAAUGUAUAAAACUUAGGUUGAGUAAUGGCUUUGAGCCCGAUAGGUCGACACUAUAGGGUAUAAGACCAACCCUAGAGACAUGAAUGUGGAUUCUGGAAUCCCUAGGAAUGAAGGCUGCUAGUGCAGUAGCUGUUAGUGCAGCAGCUGCUAGUGCAGCGAAAAAGACUUGCGAUCGAGCGCAAGUGAAUCAUAACUGCGGGUAUGUGUAGUUCUCCUCGCCCGGCAGUGAUUCAACGGGUAUGUGUCGUUUUUCUCGCCCGGUAUGAGAAUGAGAUCGCGGACACGGGUUUGUGUGGUUCUCCUCCCCCAUAGGUCCGUUGAGCAACUGGUGGUUUGGGGUUCGACGGUAUAUCCUCACCCUGUGAGUAGACCUACAGUCGAGAGGAUUCAAGGCUGAGGUGCAUGUGAGACAUCCUUUGCCUCGAGCUUGACUGAGCGCGGACUAUACGCAGUUGAUUGGCUCAAGACUGAGUCGAGUGGCAUAGUUGGCUAAGGUAAAGUAACCUUAGGAAAGAAUGGCAAAUGACCAUAGUAUGACAAAGAAUAAUGAAUUGCAAGUAAUAAAGAAUGACUAAGAACCAAGAAUGGCUAAAGAUAAGGAAUGGCUAGCGUUAACAAACGGCUAGUGUUAAAGAAUGGCUAAUAAUAAUGAAUGGCAAAAUGAUGGAGAGUAGAAUCAUUUAAUCUACUUGCAUAGUUGCAUGAUUUGCAUAGUUGCAUAUUGUGAGGCAUGAACAUGAUAAUUGUUAGUUGCAUAAAUUAUAUAUCUGUGGAUAUUUGUUGGACUAACAUAUUUGCAGUGCCUCCUUUGGACCUUGUGGGUCGAGCUCUUCCCUUGGGUGGCCAUACUCACUGGGAACUAUAUUUAUAUAGUUCUCACCCCACGUGAUUUUGGGGGUUUCAGGUUUACACGCGAGCGGCGCAACGGCGAGGAAAGGGCGUAGCUCUAUAGUUAGCCCCCUACCACCAAGACCAGAGAUAGCGGUACCCUGAGUCGGCUACUUAGGGAUGUGAAAAAUGAAAAGAAUCAAGUUGUAAUAAAAAUUGUAAGAAUUGGAUCGUAUUUGGAAGUAAAAAUCUAGUUAAUGUAAUGUAAAAUGUGAAUUGAGACGAAUGCUUGUAAUAGCAUAGUUGUGUUUAUGUUUUUGAUACCUUCCUUAUGCAAUCUUUGUUGUAUGCUGUUCCUGGUUGAAACCUCGCGCAUUGUUUUGAUUGUGACGCCUUGGACGUACAGGGAAGACUCUGUCGGCGGUACAGGGGAAACCCUGUCCGUUCGGGAGUCUGUUGGCGUGCCCGAAUCCGACCAAAUAGGCGGGCUCGGGGCGUGACAAUAUGCACCUCUGGCCUUCCGCCUCCUCCAGUAUAUGCUGGUAGACGUCAAUAACAUCGGAGCUGACGAAUGCCAUGUGACUUGUUAGGUCGACGAAGUCACUCCGCCCGAUAUCAAUGUUCUUCGAAGGCACUCUUCUCGCAUUGGUGAUGCUUGUAAGGAAAAUUUUCAAUGCCCUCCUGAUCCUCCUUUGGUAACUCUUCCUUACCAUAGUAUUUUAAAUCCUGGGCCGCUGACGCUUUUGCGACCCUCAGUUUUAGUUUUUUGCCCUUUUGUGUUAUUGAUGUUUCUUCCGGGGGGAGGGGGGUGUCGAUGAUUAAUGGGGGCUAUUCACAAAUCAAUGAAAGAGUGAGACAUUCAGGAAAUUACACCAUUGCUGCACUUAUUUACACUAUUAGAAGCUAUAUCGCAUUACUUAAAUGUAUCGUUGCAAGAUUCACAAACCUCUUUAAUGCUGGGUUCCGGCAUGGCAGAUUUCGCUGUUUGUGUAGACGCCUUUCUCGCCGUCGAGUCACGCGCCAGGCGUCUCUUCGGGCGGGGCUUGUCGAUUUUUACAAUCACCUAUUCACAGGAAUUUAAAAUAGUGCAACAAAUAAGAAAAUGUUACACGAAUAGAAGACAUAUUGCAUAAAUUAAAAAGUAUCGGUGUAACAUUAACUUACACUUUUGCUGUGCAAGUCGUUUUUGUGGGAAUUGCCGAUGCCUCCGGUGCAGCCGCCGCCACCGCUGCCUCCUUUUUUCUUCUGCCGUCGCCGCCACCUCCUUUUCCUCUGCAGCCGAUGCCUCCUUUUCCUCCUCCUCGGCCGCCGUCGCCACCUCAUUUUCCUCCUCCUCCUCCGCCGCCGCCGCCGCCUUUUCCUCCGCCGUCGCUGCUGCCGCCGCCACCUCAUUUUCCUCCGGCGCUAACACCUCCUUUUCCUCCUCCUCCGCCGCCACCGCUGCCUCCUUUUUUCUUCUGCCGUCGCCGCCACCUCCUUUUCCUCUGCAGCCGAUGCCUCCUUUUCCUCCUCCUCGGCCGCCGUCGCCACCUCAUUUUCCUCCUCCUCCUCCGCCGCCGCCGCCGCCUUUUCCUCCGCCGUCGCUGCUGCCGCCGCCACCUCAUUUUCCUCCGGCGCUAACACCUCCUUUUCCUCCUCCUCCGCCGCCACCGCUGCCUCCUUUUUUUCCUCCUCUGUCGUCGCUGCCCGCCACCACCUUUUCCUCCGCCGCUGUAGUGUGCCGAGUCCUCGGUGUGCUAAAUCAAACUUUAAUCAAAUUGCCCGAAGCUUGGUAUUGGACGCUUUAGAGAGGUCUGUUGAUGUUCCGAGUGCUUCGUAAGGAUGUAUAUGGGUGUUUGGACCUUGGAGCGCAAGAUUGAAGAAAUUCCAAAUUUUUUGUAUUUGGAAUGCUCUCGUGGUCCGGACCCUGCAUGUAGGGUCCGGACCUCGUACACGACAGUUCAUGCUCCGAAACCUGUAAGGAGUUACCCUCAAGCAUGUAGAGGUUAGAGACCUGAAACUCACUGUGCAUUCGCUCAGCUUCGGCGGCAGUAUCAACCUACAGGCCACCGCACCCACACGCUCCAAAACCUUCUAGGUCCAACGUAUUGAGAACUACGCUUUCCUCGAUAACAUCCCACCCUACAUUACACAGGUAACACCCUCAAAAGGCAUCGCCUCCAUCCGCGAAUUAAAAAUUUCACGGCGCAUAAUACAUAAACUCGUCACCGUGAUCGUAUAGGGCGAACUUUUUUCUCCGCCUUCCUCAACACCUUCGGUCCCAGAGAUAUCCCUUCGCUCACCACACCUUAAUGAAUGGGGACCGACAUAACCUUCUCGUGAGAGUCUCAACUGCUCCAUCGCUAUGUAAUGUAAGGUACCGGACUUCUAAAAUUAUGAAGUUAUGGUGUACAUUUGGUUGGAAAGCUAUUUGAAUGGUUCCGGUGAGGUUCCAGUGAAGUUCGGAAGCAUUUGGGCGUUUUCGGAAUGCGUAGGCGCGAAAACGAGACCCGAAAGGCUAUAUUGGACCAUGAACUAAAUCCAGCAUUAGCGUUGAUGAAAAGACAAUGAAAACGCGCUCGAAAAUGUGUUUUGAGAGUCUCGGUUCGAUUUGAAACGAAUCGGAGACUCACGGAGCGAAAACGAGCGAAAACGGAUCAAAAUUGGUGAAAAUGCUGAAAUUUUGGCUAAGUCUGAAAAUGCUGAUUUUUUGGACCUACGGGGUCCGGACCCUAGCUUCAAGAUCCGGACCUUGAGCUCGAAAAAUGCACAGUUUGAGUGGCAUUCUUGUAAUAAAAUGGUGGGGGUUUGACUUAAGAAGGGGCUACACCCAUUCUUCUUCUUCCUUAGCUCAAAACGCACACACACACACACAAUAGAGUAGAGAGAGAAAAGCUCUCUCCUCUCUCUAGAUUUCUCUCUCUUCUCUCUUGAUCCAUCUCUCAAACUUUGGAUCUUGGAGGAAAAGGACCUCGUGAACGCGUGGGAGGCAACGGCUCGGGCUCUCGUGCGCCCGUUUGAGCGGUGUGCUUCCGUCUCGGCGUUCAGAUUUUCGUAAGUAUUUAGGAUUUGUUUAAAUCCUCUAUGCUUAGUAUUCUAAUGAUCCCUAGAGUGUUCUAGCAUGUCUCUACUAUGAGAUUUGGUGGAUUUGGCAUUAGAUGCAUAUUAGGGCUCAAAAUGGGGGUUUUGCUUUAUAGAUGGGUUUGAUCUAAAUUAACCCUCUGUAAACCUAAUUGCUAGGUGUACGAACGCGUUGGCGAAGUCGGUUCGACGAUUUGUCGAGCCGGUGCGAAGAUAUUAAAGAAACAGAGGAUUUAGCUUCGUUUCCGCCUGAAGGGCCGAGGCAGCGUCCAUAAAUCGUGAAAACGGAACUCGGGCACCGCGGCAAAUAAAUGAAGACCUUUUUUAACCGUGGCUACGAAGCGAUGCACGGUUGAUGAGCAAUUGCAGAAUCGGGCUAAACCGGAUACCGAGUGCUUCGAGCGGCCGGUUGCAAGUGACUACAAGCAAUCGGAGAGCGAAUCGAGAUGGGUUGUGUUUACCGAAGCGACUAGGUCGCCUCUAUGUCUAAGAGUCAUAUUUACUAUUGAUGCAUGCAUAUGUAGUGGUAUGUUGCAUAAGAUAAUAGAGAUGCAUGAAUCUUAUUAUGCUUGAUGUUUAAUGCCUACCAAUGAGAUUUGUAUGUUGACGCAUUGAGAAAAAUGCAUAAUGACAUAAUGCUAAUGCUAAAUGGAUGCAAGUUAACAUAUAGAGGAUUAUGUUAAUUGAAAUAUGCAUGUAGACAUCUAUAUAUUAGAUCGAGUGACAUCGAACCUAGUGUUAAUAAACAUAGGUCGAACACGAGUGGCAUCUAACCUAGUGUUAUUAAACAUAGGUUGAACAUGAAUGACAUUGAACCUAGUGUUANGAUGCAAGUUAACAUAUAGAGGAUUAUGUUAAUUGAAAUAUGCAUGUAGACAUCUAUAUAUUAGAUCGAGUGACAUCGAACCUAGUGUUAAUAAACAUAGGUCGAACACGAGUGGCAUCUAACCUAGUGUUAUUAAACAUAGGUUGAACAUGAAUGACAUUGAACCUAGUGUUAGUAAACAUAGGUUGAACAAGUGAACCUAGAGUCAAGAUCUAGGUGAGUGGCAUCGAACCUAGUGUUAAAGAACAUAGGUUGUGGAUUAAACCUAGAGUUAAAGUAAACCUAGGUUAUGUGAUAGAGGCAUGGAACCUAGAGUCAGUUGGACCUAGGAUGGAAAGGACAUCGGACCUAGAUAGGUCGAUACUAUAGGGUUUGAGACCAACCCUUGAGUUGUGAAAUGGAUUCCGGAAUUCCUAGUGUUGUGACCGCAAAAUAAGCGGUGGAACUUGUGACAGGAUACAAGAGAUGGCAUUUAGAAUCAUAACUGCGGGUAUGUGUGGUUCUCCUCGCCCGGCAGUAAUUCAACGGGUAUGUGUGGUUCUCAUCACCCAGUAUGCCAUGAGAAUAAUGAUCAAACAUGUAUGUGUGGUUCUCCUCGCUCGGUAUAAGCUAGAAUGAGUAUGUGUGGUUCUCCUCGCUCAUUUAGCUUAUUGGAUGAUGCCGUCUGGAUUGACCUGAACCAUUGCCGGGUAAGGGCGAUGCGUGCACCGCGAGAAGGCUGAGUCGUGACUUGAACCAUUGUUGGGUGAGAUGCGAUGAGUUUGCCGCCAGAUGGCUAAGUCAUGACUUGAGUCACUGCUGGGUAAGGACAACGCGUUCGCCACCAGAUGGCUAAGUCAAGAGGUGCGGUGGGCUGUGACGGCAGCCAGGCUGAGGUGCAGCCAGUGCGCGGACUAUCCGCAGAUGAUUGACUCGAGGCCGAGUCAGGUGGAUAGCUUGAUUAAGAUAGUAGAAACCUUAAAGGCUAGUGAUAGAGGUAAGAACUAAGGUAAUAUAAACGUUAGAAGCUAGUUGGACAAGAGCUAGUUAGCGUGAUAGAAGUAGAAUCGAUAGAUUUACUUCUUUGGUUGCAUUGUUACAUAAAUUGCAUAUGGAAUAGUAUUAUUGCAUUUGUGAGGCAAAGCACGAUAUAUGUUCGUUGCAUUUAAAUUAUGAUUUCAUAUCUAUCUAUUGAACUAACAUGUUGUUGCCUCCCUUGGACUACUGGUCGAGCUUUUUCCUUGGGUGGCCGUACCCACUGGGAAUCAUGAAGUUGGUUCUCAACCUACGUUGUUUUGGGGUGUUAUAGGUUCGCACGUGAGCGGCACCGUGGCGCGAGGCAAGGGCGUAACUCCAUAGAUAGCGCCCUACCCCAGAGAUCAGAGAUAGCGAUACCCCGAGUCGGCAUAGCCUAGGGGUAUAGGAAAGGGAAAAGAACACAAUAUACUAAAACUUGUAAAUAAAUGAUGUAGUAACUUGAUUGUAUUUGGAAGUCAUAAAAUAUAUUAUGCAAGUGUGAUGUAAAAAUGAAUCUAAUGGGAAUGCUUGUAAUAACAUAGGAUGUGUUAUAUUGUUUGAUACCUUCCUUAUGCAAUCAUUGUACGAAUACUGUUCCUGUUUGGAACCUCUUGUAUUGUACUAUUUGUUGAGCCUUGAACGUACAGGGGAUACUCUGUCCGCAGUACAGGGGAAACCCUGUCCGUUCGGCGCUGUCGGCAAUCCGAACCUGGCCAAAUAGGCGUGGGGCUCGGGGCGUGACAGAAUGUGGUAUCAGAGCAUAAAGUAAAGAAUGGGAAUGGUUUAGGCAGACCUAGGAGACCCUAAGAUAGUAAACCAUAGGAGAAUAAGGCUCGUGAGAGACGAGGAGUUACGACUUAUGGUGAAAGGUUAAUUGAUUGGGUUGUGUUAUAAACCUCUAAUUUGGAUAUUAGAGGUAGACUCGAGGUGUGGCUUAUUCUCAACUGAGGGUGUUCAUGUUGGGCGUACGACAACAUGAAACCGAGUGAUGAGAAUAGACGCCCUUCAUGACUUUCGCCCGAUUUGAGUCAAUGUUAAAUUAUUUUGUGCUCGACCUAGAAGGUUGAGAAUUAAUCGAGUUGUCCUGUUUCAGAAAACGAUGGCACCGCGUAGGCGACCUUUGUCUCGGUCGACGCGGGGUGGGACAGGUGAUGUCCCUAAGCAAUCCGAGGCGAGUGGAGACCCGGUGCUCCGCGAGCAGAUGAGUACUCUCAUGGGCGUAGUGCUGCGACAGGAGGAGCAUAUCAAGGAGCUCCAUGAGUUGUUGGCACGACAAGCUGUGGCGGUUGCGCCUAGCAGCACCCCGUGUACCGAUAGGAGUGGCGAUGGAUUCGGGGGCAGUGGCCCCUGGUUCUAUGGAAAUGGAGGCGGAGAAAGAGCGGGCUCUGGCGGCCCUUAUGACCUUCAAGAGGUUUGAUCCACCUGUUUUUGAUGGAGAGAAUGUCGAUCCGAGGAUUAUGGAGACGUGGAUUGACUUUAUGGAAACGCUCUUUGAGGAGCUGUACACCUUGGAGCGAGACGAGGUGCCCCUAGCCGUGCACUGUUUAAAAUUGUUGGCAGAGGUAUGGGGGAAAGGCAUUCAACGGAAUUGAUCACCUAGUCUUCCUCUAUGGCUUGGGAUGAGUUUCGGGGAUUGGUAUUUUCUACUUACUUCUCCGACAGUAAACAUGUCACGCCCCGGGACCCAGCGGAAGCCCGCCCGGCGCGUGCCCAGACCUGCCGUAUGUCUAAAAUAUACAAGGCGUCUAAAACAGAACGAUAAAAGAAAUAACGAAGCGAUAAAUAAAGCAACAAAAGGAGAAUAUCUAAAAGUAUCAGAGCAAAGUAUAUCUAGAAGCUACAAUAAGGGAAAAGAACAUAAGGCUAAAUCUACUAUGUAAAAACAUAAAGUAAUACAAUAGAAGUCCCAAAAAUAAGAGCUAAACAAGGUACAUAGGUGGUCUCUAUACAUGGUACAAAACCUUCCUCUCACAAAACACAAAGAGAGAGUAACCACCUAGGAGCAAAAGCGAGCUUCGCUAUCUGUCAAGUUAGGCGACACCCUUGCCGCGAGCGCGAUCCUGUGCCUCCGCCUGUGCCGAAGGCUCUGAAAAGGAAACAUAGAAAUAGGGGCAUGAGAACUAUUAAAUAAUAGUUCCCAGUGGGCAAUUACUGACUUCAGUGAAAUGCGCCACUAGGCCCAAAGGCUACAAAAAGGGGGUCAGUAAACAAAUAUAAGUACAACGAGUAAAUAAACAAGAAUGUUUGCUACCACAAGAUAUCACUACUUAGCAUGAUUUUGCUCAAGUAAUAAAAGGCUACACUGGCAUGAAUGUACCAAAGUAUCACUAGUAUGAUGUCCACAAGCUAAAUAGUAAAGAUGUCAUUGUUUACUAUUCUAGUCAAUGUCCACAUGGUAUGAUGAAUGCUCAAAGUCAAAUCUAAAGGAACCCGCCCGAAGGCUGUCUGGCCCUGAGACCCACCCGUAGGCUGUCUGGCCGGUGCCGAGCCUAAUGGCCCCGUGGUAGUCAACAUCCCCACCCUAGGAAUGAGCCUUUCCCACGGUAAUCCACUUCGGAGCCCAAUCCCGCAUGGCGAAUAUGUAUCGCGAUGGCCAUCUCCGGAGUGCCGGCUUAUAGGGAGCGACCCUCACAAGCAUGUGCGAAUGAGCAUAAAGGCAAGUAACCAAAAGAUCCGUCUCAAGUACCAAGUCCUCAUGUCUAACAAUAUGGAAUACGUCACAUCUCUCAUAGGCCUAUCUCUUUGUCAUCAUGUCUCUAACAUGGAAUAUAAAAGAUGUCAAUGGCCUAUCACUAAGUCUCAGAUAACAGUUUCAUAGUUUGCUAGUCCAAGUGCCCCUUUAUGACACUUUUGGUCUCUAUGUCCAAGCAUGAUAAUUAUGUUCACGAAUACAUAACUCUAAUCAUUUUCAUCGUACGAGACAAGUACCCAACUCGCAAAAAGAACCACUUCUCACAUGCAUGCUAAAAACCUAGAAUAUCCUACUACAUAGAGUGAAAAUUUCAUGAUACAUAAGGCAUGCAUUUUAAGUGUUCUAAAAUUCACAUAAAUUCUAUUUAGCAUGGAUUUGAUGUCAAAUUGAGAUUACGACAAGUACAAAAUGCAUAGGGGCCAUUUUGCCCUGUUUUCAUGAAGUCAAACCCACCACAAUUCUUGCAACUCUUCGUAAGCUCCGACGAAGAUGCCCACUAGUCUCCUAGCACCCUAAAGAUGUAGGAACAAGAGUCAAACGGACCUUACGAACAAUAUACAAGGCUCAAUCAAUAACCAUCUCAAGCUAAGGUGGAGAAAAACUCACCAAGUGUGAAGGAAGCUGUCUCGAUCUCCAAAUGGGAGUUAGAGUCCUUCAAAUCCAACCUAAACCAAGGUUAUAAACCCAUCAAUUAGGUUUCAAAGCCCUCAAAUCGAAAAUCCCCAAAAUAAACUCUAAAAUUCAAAUCUAGGGUUCCAUCUAGUAAAAAGCUCUAAAACUAGGAUUUAGAGGAGAGAAACUAGCUACAUACCUCUAGGAUGCACCAAACCAAGCUCAAAAUCCUCAAGAGUUGAAGAUUGAUCCUCCACAAAGCUCCAAGUCCAAGCUCCAAGCCUCCAAGCUAGCUCUCCUUCUACUCCUUCUUUUCCUCCUUCUUCUUCUCUUUCUAGAAAGUGUAGAGAGAGUGUGAGGGGGAGAAAUGAAGGUGAGAGGGAGAGGUAAUGGCCUAUAAGCCCUCUCAUGUAACAAAAUCCACUUAGGUCCCUCAAAAAUCCAAUCUGUGCACUGCCCGGGUUUGGGCAAUUUUCGCCCAGAGGGACCGAUCUCUCCUAGCUGGGACCGAUCCCUCAGGACCCUCCCGCAGAAUAAGCUCUCGGGAACCGGUCUCUCUCUGCGAGGGACCGGUUGCCUCAAGUCCUACCGCAACACUGUUCCGGGGGGGCCGGUCUCUCCCACCAGGGGUCGGUCCCCGAGAGUAAAAACUCUCAGGACUUAGCCAAAAUCCAGAAUUUCGAACUUUUAGGUUGGAAUACCAUUUACGACCUUCCACCAAGUGUGGAAAAGCUCAGAAUCCAUAUCAAACACUCGAACAUCACAAUUUGCAUAGGUCCAGUGUGUUACAAAACAGAGAAAGCUUCAGGACAGGUUAAGAAAGCUGCGGCAAGGAGACCGCGUAAGGGAAUACGAACGGGAGUUUUCCCGUAUCGUGAAUUGUGUCCCACCAAAUAAGUUAACUAAGUCAUUUCACUCGAAUAUGAGUUUAGCUUCCCCUGUUACACCAAUUCAAACACCCUUUAAUUCUUGGAAAGGGCCUGGUAAUCUUGCUGAGAUAGAAUUUGAUUCUCAUAAAAUAGUAGUUCUUAAAAAUUGUCCCUCGUGGUGACUACCGAGUCGGGAUAACGUGAUGACCGGCGUAAAAUUCAAUGUAUUUUUUUUUGUCCUCUUAAAAUCAAUGGAUAAAAUUUACCCGUCUAGUUCAAAAAAUUAGAGUGAGAAUUGAAGCAAUUUAGUUAUUUUUCCAUUUGAAGAGUCUUUUGAGAUGCAUCCUUCCGUGCCAUUAAUUUUUCCUUUUCUACGAAUCUUAAAGAGCUACGAUGUAAAAUCUAAUGAUAAAAGAUAGAGCCUCAUAAAUUCUCUUUCCAAAGCAAAUGCCAUGCGUUGACUGAAGCAAAGGGUAAAUUCCAGUGCCAAUAUUUCGUUCUCUUCUAUUAUAUAUCCCUUUCCUUGUGCUUGUGCGUUGUACGCAUUACCUCAAGAAGUUGUUGGCCACUUCCCAAAGUCAAUGAUGGAUCGCCGCUACAAGAACCUGCGCACCAUCUCCACCAUCUAUACACUUAUGAGAUAGCUUAGUCAACUGCACGUACGUAUUACACUCACAAAAGACAUUCCUUCGACCAUUAAAACAUCAAUAAAUUGUAAAAUAAUCGCUAUUAAUAAUUACAUGUAACUCGCACAAAGUUGAAGUUUCACAUUGACCGCUCCAAGCUAUAGUAGGGGGGAAUUAGUUUCAAAAAGGAAACAUCUUUUUCCCAGGAUUACUUAAGGAAAGAUACGGACCGUGCAGGUGAGCAAAGAAGCUUACUUUUGGGUAGACAAAAUCAAGCAUCAUUUAUUUAAUAUUAUGAUUUUUCUUGAAUUUUUGUUUUAUGGAAUUGAGUGUGCUGAUAAAUCUAUGAGAUUUGUUUUGUAGUAAAUCAAAAAAUUAGGAACUAGUUAAUUUGGCCCCAGGGGUUGUUUUUUAUUUUUUGUUGGCUAACUUAAUUUCCAUAUGAUCUGGGAAAUGAAUAUUAUCUCUAUUCUUCUAAUAAUUGGAUGUAUGGUUUGCAAAUUCUUCUUUCCCAAAAUAGAGGAAAAAAAAAAAAACGCACAGAAAAAAAAAAAAAUUGAGUUGCUUCUGAAUUUUUGGUUUUCACUGCCAUUCAGCACCAUAAUUACAUAUGCCAAGCUUUGAACAGUGCUUUUAAUAAAUGAAGGUUGAGGGUUCGGUUUGAGUGGUUGAUCAGUACUGAUUUUAUUUGCGUUCUGAUUUCAAACAUUUGCAGCUAGCGUCCAGGAUUCAUGCUAUACGACUUUCUGACUCUUGGCAGCCAACGAACGAUAAAAGCUAUUAACAUUUUGAGUCUUUGGAUUAAUUUUAUUACUUUAUCAUCGAUCCCCUCCUUCACUCGAGGCGUAUUAAUCUAGACAGGUAGAAGGAUACAUUCCGACCUCGAUCGGUUGCAAAAUUUCACACAAGUGAACUUGGGAAAAGAGAACGUUUUGAAAUUAAUGUAACUAAUUUAUUUUUCAGUCAAGAAAAAGGAUUUGCAAGCCAACAAUUCAUAACAAAAUAGAAAAGCAAAAAUACCCACCACUUGCAAGUUUUACUUACAUAGCAUGUAAAUUCAAAAAAUAUAAUACUUUUUUUUUUUUUUGAGAGAUAGAUAGCAUGCUAUCCGCUUUGUUUAUUUUAUUUAGAAAUAAAAUUAGCUGAAAAUAUGAAUCAACUAGGAUUCAUGCUUGAGACCUCGUGUACGAACUAUUUUUUGCCAAACUAUUUUUUGCCACUUGUGUAGAAACGACAGGUAAACAAUAUAUAUAUAUAUAUAUAUAUAUAUAUAUAUAUAUAUAAUACAUUAAAAAAAAGGAAAAAUAUUUUCGCAGCCAAAAUUAAAUCCUGCUCUUCACUUUUGGUAUUAGUCAAAUAAGUUGGGAGUACCCAUUAUUUAUUUGAUCACGCACUGCGGCGUGGCCUUUCGUCUCAACCAAUGCGAAAAAGGGGACACACCUCCAUGGUAUCCGUGUCUACACCGACCAUUAUUUAAUUUCUGGCCCUACCUAUUUAAGUCAAACUUAUAUUUUAAUUUAAUUAAUCCCAUCAUCACACCCGCUGGAUCCCAAACGAGCGGUGAUCCGUGAUACUCCGUGCCUUUCCAGUUACUCAGUACUCGCCCACCAGCCAUUCUACACUACUGUAGCGAAAAAUAUGCAUGUUUGAAGUCGCAUGCCCACGCCACCUCACCGCAUGCACACUCUCUCCGACUCAACAAAAACAUAAUUUAUUAAUUAUUUCAUUUAUUUAAUUUUGUAAUAAUACAAAACAGACAUAUAUGCAUGCCGAAUUCUCUCGCUAAUUAAUAUUCCCUUUUUCAUUAAUUAAUAACUACUCUUCUUCUUCUUCUUCUUCGGCUUCUUGUUUCUCUUAGACUCAAAUAAAAAACUGAUAAAAAAUGAACUGAUUCAAUUAUAUGAAGCUUUUGAUAGUACAUACGUACAUGCACAUAAUUAAUGAUCUAUAAAUUACUCACUAGAAACAAAUGAAUACAUUUCACAAGAGACUGAUCAAUUAAGAUUAGAAACCUAACCUACUGUAUUGUGUGCGCAUCUUCUAGAUCCAGCUAGCUAGCUACUUGUGCAAAGAAUGGGAUGCAGCAAUAUAUGGAGUCUGCAUGCAGUCAAUCGGAGAUAAUUAAUUAACUCGGCCAUAAAUAUGUUUGUUUACACUCUUCUUCCCCUCCUUCAAUUCAAUGCAAACAUGAAUUCAACAAUAAGGGAACAACGUCCGUCAACAAGCAUCUAGUGGUGCAACGGGUUCGGACCGGUCGGGACUAAUCUCUUCUGGACGCCGUACCGUGGAUCGAUCUCAUCGCCAUCGUCCGGAUUAGGCUUGGGCUUAACAACAGCCGGCAAACGACUGUGCCGGCCGUGAUGGUGAUGGCUGUGAUGGUGGUGGUGGUGGUGGUGGUGGUGGUGGUGGUGGUCAUUAAUACUCUGCCGUGUGGAAUGGAACGUCGACGCAUCAAAUUUGACCGUAUCUAGAAGCACUUUUCUCGGAACCAAUGUGUUGCUAGCGCUUCCAGAGUUUACAGGAUGCAGGCCCCCCUCAUGAAAGGAGAAGAAGAGCAGGGAGAGCCAAAGAAGAAGGGAGACUGCGGAUAUGACGACUACGACAGGAGAGCUCCUCAGCGGCAUGGCGGAGGAGAGAGAGGUUGGCGGUGUGUGUGUGAGAGGGUACUCAUGGGGUAUAGAGAUCUUGAGAGAGAGAGAGCUAGCUCUGGAGAGUGAGAGAGAGAGCUCUGGAGAGAGAGUUACUCUCUAGUCGAUGUACAUAUAUAUAUAUAUAUGGAUAGAAGCACCAUUAACACAAGAAGGAAUAAAAGAGGGUCUAAGGAUUAAGCUAGAACAGUAUUGGUGCUGAAAAUGUUGAAAGACAAACUAGCUAGAGAGGUGCAUUUUGCUUGAUGGGGACUCCAUAUGCGUGUUGGGCUCGGCCAUAUAGAAUAAAUAAACAAGUAAAUAAAUGUGGGAUUGAUGUGCAAUGUGUCGAGUCUUUUGGGGCCCUUAUUGUGCGGAGAGGAGGGAGCAGAGCUCCGCCUUAGUAGAGCGUAAAUAGGCAGCUAACUUGACGCUGAAGGAAGAACGGCGUUGUCCAAUACAUAUGCUUGUGGUUUCAAAUGGUCAAACCUCCAUGGGUUGGAACCGCACCUGAGCUUAAUUAAUAUAUAUAUAUAUAUAUAUAUAUAUAUAUAUAUACACCAUAUAUGAAUUAAAUUGGGACUAACUACAAACGUAUGUUGUGGGUUAGGAAGCAGAGUGGGAUUUAAGAUCUGUGGGUCGGUUGCGUCUGCGACGGAGUUUGAGCUAUUAUUAUCUUUUUUAUCGCAUAAUUGCACAGUUGGCUUCGCUCGCUCGGUCUUCUUAAUUUCAAGAUUCAACGCUAUCAAUUGCUUGCAACUGGCAUUCAUUGCUUCGCCACCAAAAAAUUACGUUUCUCACUGGGCAAAUGCAGCUCACUAUGACUUGCCUUAAUGUGGAUCUCUCUCUCUCUCUCUCUCUCUCUCUCUCUCUCUCUCUCUCUCUCUCUCUCUCUCUCUCUCUCUCUCUCUCUCUCUCUCUCUCUCUCUCUUUAUAUAUAUAUAUAUAUAUAUAUAUAUAUAUAGAGAGAGAGAGAGAGAGAGAGAGAGGUGGGUUGGAAUAAAUCGCAAGCAAACACCUCAAAAAAUAAUGAUAGUAGUCUUGUAAUUAAAAUCAAGAGUAAAUAUAAUUCUAUAUAUAUAUAUAUAUAUAUAUGUAUAUAUAGUGAGGCUACUAUGCUAUCGGAAGCACGGAGCCUUCCGUACUUCUAGUUCGUUUUCGAUGUUGCGACUUUCAAAUCGUCGAUCGGCUCCGUUAAACUUGAUUUAGAGUAUUUGAAGUACCUAGAAAAUAAAUUUUAUAAUUUUACGAUAUCAUUUGCCUAGUGAACGAAGGGGCUCAAAAUCAACGGCUGAAAAUAAAAAUCUUACAAAAUAUAAUAAUAUGACAUUGAAAUUUUAAAUCAAAGAUAUUGAUCUUGUUUUAUAUAGUAUAAAAAAUUUUCUAUCAAAAUUUCACAUGAUUUGGAUAUUUUUACACCGUUAAACUCGCAAACGGCUCACUACGGCCAUUGAAAUUUGUUGAUUUUGAGCCCAUUCGAUCACUAGGUAAAUGAUAUCGAAAAAUAAUAAAAUUUAUUUUCUAGGUACUCCAAAUACUCUAAAUCAAGUUUAACGGAGCCGAUCAACGAUUCGAAAGUCGCAACAUCGAAAACGAGCUGGAAGCACGGAAGGCUCCAUGCUUCCGAUAUGCAUAGUAGCCUCCAAAUACUCUAUAUAUAUAUAUAUAUAUAUAUAUAUAUAUAUAUAUAUGAGUUGAGCUAGAAUACUCUCGAGAGUAAACGAGCCCGUUUACUCUUGAGUUGUUUUCGAUGAUAGAGCUUCCAAAUUGACGAUCGGCUCCGUUGAACAUGAUUUAUACCACUUGAAGUGUUUAGAAAUCAAAUUUCAAAUCUUUUCGACAUCAUUUGCCUAAUGAUCAAAGGGUUUCAAAAUUUGUAAUUUUAAUGAUGGAUAAGAGACGUUUUCUCGUUUAACGGUGUAAAAAUAUCCAAAUCAAUUGAAUUUUUGUUAGAAAAUUCUUUAAACUAUUUAAAACAAGAUCUAUACUCUUGAUCUUGAUUACAAGACUCCUAUCAUCAUUUUUUAAAGAAUAUUCAUUUUCAGCCAUUCAAUUUUCUAUUCACUAGAUGGAUAUAAAACAAUAUCGAAAGUGCGUGAAAUUUGAUUUUUAGAUAGUUUAAAUGGUUUAGAUCAUAUUUAACGGAGCCGAUCGUCAAUUUGGAAGCUCUAUCAUCGAAAACAACUCGAGAGUAAACGGACUCGUUUACUCUCGAGAGUAUUUCUACACCGUUAAACUNUAUAUAUAUUAAACUUUUUCGAUAUUAGUCCAAACACAAUCUUAUACCUAGUGUGAGCUCACUUGCAUGCACUAUAGCAUAGAGAAAAAAAAAAACACAAAAUAUGAGAACCCAAAGCGAGAAAUUCGCGAGCAUUUUAGUUUCAGUUUAUAAGAAAUUUAAUAACAUGUUGUUGGAAUUAUUUAUGUCAAAUACGCGUAAAUAAGUAUUAGGAGAUUUUUGAUCAGUGUAAAAGCAAGGAAAUAGUUCUAAUACUGUUUGCCUCCCUUCUAUAAAUGAACUUGACGUCUUUUAGCUAUACAUCAAUUUAGUAGCAUCCUUUUGAAUUAUGUUUAUUAUUAUUAUUAUAUUUACUAUUAUACUAAAAUGGGCCACUAACUAUUAUUUUAAAAGAAAUGGGCCUAUAAUUCACAAGAAAAUGGCUGCGUUUCGAUUGAUCUGUUCGGGUCAGGAAAGUAAGUGGCCCAGAUCCGGCCCAUUAACCUUUCUAUAUUGUUUUGUUUUUUUACAACUCAUUAAACAAUUAAAACCAUAUAUUAUUGGCCUUCUAUAAUUAGCAUUUUACAUUCAAAAUUUUCUUACUUGAAUGAUAAGAUAAAUGGGUCAGUUAUAUUUUUAGCUCUCCAGUUCAAACUCGUGAACUGAUUUUUACUUGUGUUCAAAAUUUUAUUUUAACAAAUAGUUUUAACGUCGCUACUCCACCACUCCUUUUUUGUUUUUUUAUCCCGACAGGUGUACUAUUUUAUCCAUAUAGUUUAGUUUAUACUUCUAUGAAUGAAGCGUAUAAUAUACUAUUUCUUUUCUCAAAAUAAUUUAUUUUUUUUAACGAAAUAAAGUUGAAUGAUAAUUACGUGAUGUUUUUAAUAAAAUAAUAAAUCAGCAAACAAAAUGUAUUAUUUUGUGAAAUAUAUAUUUUCAAUACACGGUCAAAUUUGUAAGGUCGUGUCAAAAUCAUAAUCAAAUCAAAAUUUUAAAUAUAAAUAAUUUGUUUUUUUUUUAAUGGAAAAGUUUUAUCGAGCACCUCAUGUACCACGCUUAAAACUCCGCCCCUCCUCGCCGAUCACAACAUUAUAAGACACUUUGAUUACUGCUUUAUCCUUCUCCACCGCCCCCACCCUUUCCCUCCUCGACGCUAGGGUUUCCUCUAACGCUCUUCUUCUUCUUCUUCUCCACGCGAGAAAUUAGAGUUUCUCCUCCGCCAUGGAUGCGCAAAGAGCUCUUCUCGAUGAACUCAUGGGCGCAGGUAAUCAUCAAUCCCUCGCGAUCCCAGAGUUUGUUUUCCGGUUCUUCGAUCUGUUUUUCCUCACUCUUAUUGGUGAUCGUAGCGCGGAAUCUUACGGAGGAGGAGAAGAGGGGUUAUAGAGAGAUCAAAUGGGACGAUAGAGAGGUUUGCGGCGCUUUUAUGGUGCGAUUUUGCCCCCACGAUCUCUUCGUCAACACGAAGAGCGAUCUCGGUAUCCCUCUCGAGCUCCAUUUUCUUCAAUUUUUCUUUAUUUGGCUUAAGUUUUAACGAUUUAUUCAUCUCUCAGGACCUUGCCCUAAAAUCCAUGAUUUGAAGCUCAAGGAAAGGUAAAUAUUAUUUUCACAUCGUAAUAUCUCCUAAUGAUAUCAUUGAUGCAACGAUUGGUUUGCUGGAUCUUGAACCUCUACUUGUGUGUUCCUUGAUGGAAUUGUUAAAUUUAUGCCUUAUAUUUUUGGUUGGAAAUGUGAAGUUUCUGUAACUUAAUCUGCAAUUCAAGACAAUGGUUGUGGCUGGCCUGUUUCUAUUUUAUUUUCCUGUCUAUGUUUGGAUUUAAAAUGUUUUUAAAGCUAGCUGCUUUGCAUUUGUCAUGUAGGAGGGAACUUUAAUAUGAGUUACUGGCGUGCUAUGCUAAAUAAGACAAUUUGGAGUUCUCUGGAUGUUGCAUUGUUUUUCUUUUGAGGUAACUGACUAAAGCUUUUUGCAUGGAACUACUGUUAAGGGAUAGUUUAUCCCUCUUGGUUUUGUUUAUAAGUGGUCGGUGUAAUCAAAGAAACUUCAGUUCUUUGGGGAUGAAAUCCACCUGAAUGUCCGAAAUUUGUUCGAGGAAGUAAGCGUCAGCUCCUGGCAGCUUACCCUGGACUUCACAAUUUGACUGUUGAUCUAUCUUAAACUUAACGGCAUUAAUUUUUCUGGCAUUUGCCGGACAUCAUUGCUGCAGACGAUGCACCUGAAUUCAAAUUGUAUUGAAUUUUGUCUUAUGGUACUGAACAUUAUCUACGAGGUGCAUUUCCUCUAGAAUUGUUAGAGAUGAACAUGUGGUCUGGCGGUGCAUGAUGAAUGAUUGCGGCAAAUUGGAGUGGAACUUGGGAUGCUGAGGAUGGCUGAACGUCUCACAUUGUGGUUUUUUGCUCUAUGAAUAUUUGUCAAGAAUACAUUGAGUUAGUUAUACUAAAUUUGUUGUUGUAUGGAGCUUCCCCAGGAAUAAUGCCUCAUUAGUGAUAGAUGUUGAUAAGUUAUGCAAUAAAAAUGGCAUAGGACACUUGAUGGCCAUGAAGACUUUUUGAAACAAUAGGGCAAUUCAGAAUUGGUGGAGGCAGAAAGGGCAAUAUGGGGCAUACAAGACAUUUUGAGCAAUUUGUAUUGCAGGGUGGUGAAGCCAGGAUUUCAAUCUGUUUAAAAUGAAGUGUUCAAAAUGGAUUGAGGUAUUAUGGAUGGAUGCAAUGGAAUUUUCAAGCGCCCAUAGAAAUAAAGGCUUCUGUUUAUCUUGAAAAGUCAGCUUGGAGGUGGGAAGAGUUAAAACACCCUUUGAAUUUUUCUGUAUUUGAGAUGUUUCGAUUGAAGUGGGUGAUUUAAUGGCCAUGUUUUUGGAACAAUGAACCUACACUUAUUCGGAUGAAUGAAGAUCUUAGCAAAUUUGUAGAUGAGCAGUUAAAACACGUUUAGCAUCUUAGCUCUUUUGUAUUUUAAGUGGAUAUUUUUAAUGUAAAGUAUUCUGAGUCAGAGGUUAAAUGUAAAGACAUAUUCAUACAUGCAUUUUGUAAUGUGUUGUUCCUGCUUUUCAAAUUCAUACCCGUCCUUUGGCAUCAUCACCAUUAAUGAUAUCAUACUGCUCUCUCCUAAUUGCCAUUUUUUAACCAGAUUUUUGAUAAAUUGCAGUUUUGAGAAGUCCCCUAGACAUGAUAUGUACGUCCCAAGAUUCGAAGCAGAUCUCGCCCAAUUUUGUGAGAGACUGGUAAUCUUAGCACUCAAAUCACUUACUCGUGCACAUGAAUUUCUUUUUAAUUGUUCUAUGCUCCUUAUUGUAGGUGACAGACUUGGACAGGAAAGUCAGGCGUGGUCGUGAACGGCUAGCCCAAGAUGUAGAAGUAACGCCUCCUGCAAUCCCAGCUGAGAAAUCGGAGCAGCUCUUGGUGCUAGAAGAAAAAAUCAAGAAACUAUUGGAGCAAGUUGAGACACUUGGUGAAGCUGGAAAAGUUGAUGAAGCUGAGGCUCUUAUGAGGAAGGUAUUGCACAAAGCGCCCAAUUUAGGUAAAGUUUCUUUAGCUUAUCAAUUGAUAUUUAAAAGUGACGGACCUCUUUUGCAGGUGGAUAUGCUAAACGCUGAGAAGACAGCGUUAACCCUGCAAUCAAAUGACAAAACGAUGAUUCUUCCCCAGGAGAAGAAGAUGGCACUUUGUGAGAUAUGUGGCUCCUUUCUAGUGGCUAACGAUGCGGCUGAGAGGACACAAUCUCAUGUAACUGGAAAACAGCAUAUUGGUUAUGGAAUGGUGAGAGAUUUUCUGAAUGAGUUUAAGGUAAGGUUUUUAUAUUGAUUUUCUUCUUUUUUUUAGGGUGAAGACAUUCUGUUAUUUUUGUUAAGAGGAAAGUGAUUGUAUUCUGGUUACCUCUUCAGGCUGCAAAGGAGAAGGCGAGAGAAGAAGAGAGGCUGACAAAGGAGAAAGAGAUGGAAGAACGAAGAAAGAGGAAAGAAAAGGAAUAUGAGAACAGAGGUACAGAAAGGUCUGGAGAGCGUGAUCGUGAGCAUGACCGUUACAAAGACCGAGGUUCUGAGAGAGAAAGUUCUCGAGAACGGAGCGGAACAGGAGGCAGGGAUGGUGGGAGGGGGUCAGAUUAUAGGCAUGAUUAUAACAGAAAUGGCAGAGAUUCCAGGAGGGAGAGAUACAGAAACCGCAGUGAAGAUGUGCCACGGGAUAGAGUCCGCGAAAGGAGCAGAUCCCGCUCUCCAAUCAGGCAUGGUUAUAGGAGGUAAUCAGAAAAGCUCAAUUCAGCGGCAUUAACUCAUAUGCAUAAAUAGUUAUUUCAGUUCUCAGAUUGAAAGUGGUAGACCAUUUCUUCUAUCCCUUACUGCUAUGUAAUGUGCUUGGAUUAAGUCUGUUGCUGUUUAACAGCUACGUUGAAAUCACAUGGUCUUCUUAUUAGAGGGAAAACGUUUUCAGGUAGGUAUAAUCUGUCCUCUCUACAUUGGAAGUUUUGAGUUGAUUUAUGCUGUGGCUCCAUAUAAAUGCAUGUUUGGGCUGUUUUGUUGCCUUUAUCUUAGUUAUGAUGGCAGUUCAAUCUGGUUAACAUGAAUUAUGAAUUACCGAGGAAGGUGUCUGUUGAUCAGCUUAUCGAAGGUAACAUGUGUUAUAUAGUCGUUCGAUUUUUUUGUUGCUGCCAACCUUCCAGGCAAGUAUUCAUCUAAGCCUAUGAUUUUCAAGUAAUCUUAGCACAAAAAAAUAGUUUUCAAGUAAUCAUAUGCUUAAGAAGCAUUCCGAGGGCUUAAAGGAGAAUCAUGAAAUUGUUAAACGGCACAUAUAAGCAUCUAGUCCUUGUUUCUUGGUGUUUCUUGGUGUAGAGAGAAACUAGACCUUUGAAAAAUAACUUACACAAAUUGUUUUAGAUGUUGUCAAGCCAUUACUUGGUUUUCUUUUGGAUGGCAGUUCAUAGCUCAGAAAAAGUCAGUCUUGCAAUUGGAAGUAUGAAUAAUUUGAAUUCUUUGCCGUACUUUUUGAACACUUUAUGUAGCUUCAGCAUUUAUUUUCUUUGGUUGCUGGUUUAGGCACACAUAUAUUGAAGCCCUUGACUUUGCAGAGCUAUGGUACAAAAACAGAAGCUACGCCGUACGCGGCUUCAAGUUUUUUGCUGAUUUAGGAUUAAUUGUAUCUUGUCACAACCUUGAUAACGACUAUAUAUGUGAUGCAAAUUUUAUUGUUGAUGCAAAUUUUAGUGCUGAGUAUCAUGUCAGUUGAUAAUAGCCGUAGCAUGUUGGCUAAAUGAAGAUUCGGCAACUAUCGGUUCGUGAAUUCUUGUUUGAGCAGCAUUCUUUCUAGCUAGCUAACCGAAUAACAAUGAAGUUUCUAAUCCCUUGCAUCUUGAACCCUAACUGCAUUUUGAAAUAGGAAUUGCAUCAUUUAAGUUAUCAAGUAAAUGCUUCUGCAACUCAAUGCUACAGAAUCAGAAAUUUGAGCAAAAGCAUUUGGAAAGUGUGGUACUUGAACCGGAUGUGGGUGGCCAGUUCUGGUUCCUUCUGUGGAUUUUUUAUUUUUAUUUUAAUUACAUGCUUCUAGAUUGAAAAAAUAACCAAUAUGGUAAACACGAACGUUUCCAGAGUCGUGCAGUUACAGGCAUAAACAUUUAAAAUAUUUGAACAUACACUGCAUGCCAAUUUGAGGAUUUGGUCACCUGCAUAUUAAUUAGCUGGCUAUAUAGCUGGUCAAUUGGAAGGCAAAGCGUUUGCGGUUUUUCCAGGACUCAUUGCCACCUUUGCUUACAGUGGAGGGCAACUGGUUGUAACACAUUACACAAUCAGCAAAUUAACAUGUACACGUAAAAUGGCACAUAAACAUGCCUGCAAUUGUUGACAAUCACAAACAGUAAUCUCCCACACUCAUAGAAGAAAACUAGGAGAGCUUGAUAUUUAAAUUUAAAUAAAUGAAGAAGGGCAAAAAGCAUUACGACAGUUUCUAUCAUUCUAUCUACAGAUCAUGUAUCACAAUGCAACUUUUCUAAGCAUCCAAUUUAUUACAUUAAGCCAUAUGGAUUCGCAUGCAAGCGAUGACCUACGAAGCUCUUUGCAGGCUUUGCAGAGCCCACAAAAAAUCAGAAAACUUGUGCCCCUAGUAGAUGGGGCUCGGAUACUCAUUGGUCUCCUCAAGGUGCUGAAUAUCGGCUGACUUAUCAGACAGAAUCCUGUAAGUUGCACCCUGCAUUUGCAUCCAAAAGAUAAAAAUUGUGUGCAACUCUUAAGACUAGAAGACCUAGUUAUUAAGGUGCCUACUUAAGCCUACAUAAGAGCGAGAAGAGCAUGAUAAAAGCUUAACCAACUUUGAACUGGUUCUCAUAUGUUUCAUUCGAAUUCUGUAUCAGUUUUAAAGAUAAAUCUAUAAGCAUACAUCAGCUACAAAGAGAAACAUGUUCAGCAAAAACAACCUGCUAUAAUAAGUUCGACGGGCUUGUCAAGAACAACUCCUUUUCUCAAUCACUAAUUAUAUUUUGAGCGAGCAACAUUUAGGCAUCCUAUCCUCUAUGAAGAAUAAAUGAGCAAGUUUAGUUCAUAAGUGACACCUACGAACCUUGGUCGAAUUUUUCUAGAAAGAUUUUACUCUCACCCACUCAUCCACCACCUGAGAUAAUUCUAAAAUUUAUAUAGGGACAUUACGAGAUUGCAGAACAAACUUAUCAUAAAAAUCACCAAAAACUAUAACGGCUUGUUAGAUCUUCAAGAGGAUCAAUCCCUACGCUUAGCUUCUUCGACAAACAUGGCAAGAAUUUGAAACAUCAAUAGCUACACAUGUACAGAAGCAGAUGAAGGCAAGUUUAGCUAACAAUUUCAUCUUGCAACCAAUUGCAAUUCUGAAAGAUCCCAGUAUGGAAUUGCCUACGAAGUCGCAGCAUUAUAUAGAGUGUUUCAAAGCAGAAUACUUUGUACUAACAACAAAAUAAUACAACUUCUUCAUUCAAUAAUAUGUAUGUAGUAUCUAAGGAAAAAGAAGAUGAUACCAUCAGAUUGAUCUUCUAGGCAAUCUCCUCCCAGCUCAAUGGAUUGCCAAAUUAAGUAGCUCGCCUGAAGAGGAAAGACCAAUAUUUAUCAUCACAAUUAAUAAUUAAGAACAAAAAGAGGAAAAAGAAAAAAAAGGGACUAUCUACUACCUAGAUAAUCUCCGAUCGCCUCUCUGUUUACCCAUGGAUGCAAGAAUCGCCCGCUCCCGCCCCUUCUCCUGCUUCUCCCGCUUCAUCCGCUCCUCCCUCAACUCCUCUAUCGACUUCUUUCCCCCACUCUUCUUCGCUGAUCCGGCUCCGCCAUUGGAAGAACCGGACCCCUUCGCACCCUCGUCUAGGGCAUCCUCGGCCGACGCCGAUGGUUUCCUGAGGUACCACGGCGCCUUCACGCCCUUCCCGGCGACUCCAUACCCUAGCCGAUACUUCUCGUCCUCGGGGGCCACCACCUUUGGGGGCUCCUGCUCCUUCCGCCGCCGCUUAGGGUUCCUGGAGCCCCCGUCGCCCCCCUCCUCGCCUCUCAGCGGCCUCUUGCCCUCGUCCUGGCCGGCGAGGGAGGCGAAGUCCGGGACGCCGUCGAAGAGGUUGAUGUGCCGCGAAUCGGAGGGCGGCGCCGCCUCCUCCGGCGUAGCGGCGGCGGCGGCGGCGGAGGAGGAGGUGGCGGUGGCGGCGGCGAGGCCGCGGGCUUGGCGGAGGCGCUCGAGGCGGAACUCGGCGUCGCGGCGGCGGGAUUGCUCGCGCUUGAGCUGCUCCUCCCGCGCGGCGGCCUCCUCGUCGCGGCGCACCUUCUCGCGGUUCUCGUAGUUGUAGACGUUCCACCGCUUCUGAGGCAGGAUGUUGAGCCCCCCGUGCCCCCCCAUCUCCCCGAUCUCACCUCUUUAGGGCUAGGGUUUUGUGGGGAUCGAUCGAUCUAGGGUUUCGAGGGGCGGUGAUUGGGAAAUCUCAACAGAGGCGUUCGCUAGAGGUUGGGGACGAAGGGGGAGAACUUUAUUUGCGGAUGAGCGUAUACAAUAAUAUACGCACGCAAGAAUAGCGAAUCAGUUGUGCGUACAAAUACGGAAGGUCGCAUGUAUUCUUUUAUGCGGAGACGACUCAAGUGACGUGGCGAUUCGGAUUCCAAGUUAUACGCGGACAAAAAUUCUAUGGGCAGCGUGCCCAAACUAAUUAGUUUGGGCACGCUGCCGGAUGGGCGCCGCGUGGCACAGGUGCCACGCGGCGCCCAUCCAUCACUGCUCUCCCAGUAAUGGGGAGAGCACUGGAACUUUCUGGGUGCACCUGGUGCAUCUAUACCAGGUGCACCAUAAUUGUAAUUUUUUAAAUUUUUUAAAAUUGUAACUUAAUAUGUUAGCAUAUAUGUUAUGAUUUAAAAUUUAUAUGGUCUAUAAUUCAUGAUUAUCGAUUUAGAAAAUUAAAAUUUUAAAAUAAAUUUAUUUUUGGUUUCAUGGAAUAGCAUGGAUAAUUUUUAUUAUUCCUAAUUUUUUUUCAAAACCAAAUAGAAUUUAAAAUUUUAAUUUCUACAAUGAUAACUAGUAAAAAAAAAUAAAUAAAUUAUUACAUAAAAUUAUAAUUUUAAAAACUAAAAAUUUAAAAUUAUAAUUAUGGUGCACCUGGUAUAGAUGCACCAGGUGCACCCAGAAAGUUCCAGUGCUCUCUCCAUUACUGGGAGAGCAGUGGUGGAUGGGCGCCGCGUGGCACCUGUGCCAUGCGGCGCCCACCCGGCAGCGUGCCCAAACUAAUUAGUUUGGGCACGCUGCCCAUAGAAUUUUUGUCCGUUAUACGCACCGACUCGGUAAGGAAUUAGAGUUUUUAUUAGGGUUUUUUUAAGGGUUUGCUCGAUCUCUCUCUCUCUCUCUCUCUCUCUCUCUCUCUCCUUCCUUUGUCGGAGCUUCUUCUCUAUUUAUUAUUCUCUUCGUCUUUCUCACUGCGUCUUUGAGCUCGAGAAAAAAGAAAUGGAGAGGUUAAAAUCUCUUAUCCCGAACGAUCUCAAGCACGCGAUCGGCGAGAGCACCACUGAGAAGCUCGCGCUCACGUGCUCUUCGCUUCUCCAUUUCCUACGCCCUUUACCUCUUUUUCACCAAGUAAUUCCAUCUAUCGAGCCUUUUCUUGUUUAAUUUCGGUUUCGUUUUCUUUCUCUGGUGGAGUAAUCGAUUAGGGCUACGGAAUUUCGUAGGUUAUCGAGGAAUUAACAGGUUCGGAAAUGGCAUUGUGUCGGAAGAGCCAAAAAGCAGCUCUUGAUUUGAAGCUAGAAGGGAAUAGGUACUUCUCAAAAGGAGAGUUUCAUCAAGCUCUGAGCUUUUAUUCUCAGGUUGCGAUCCUAUCCUCUCUUUUUUUUUCCUUUUUUUUUGUUUCUUUUUAUGAUUUUGAUUCUUGAAAUAUAAUUUUGGCGAUAUGAGUCGAGAAAUUAGCUGUUUUACUAUGAGGAACUCAAGAUUCUGUGAAAUUAUUUAUUCUAUUAUUAGAUUGGAACGGUUGAAGCACCUGAUUCCUUGUGAUUCAUUAUUUCUCAUAAAUUGCUUGUUUUUUCUACUCAUUAUAUGGUUACCGCUGAUAUAAGCAAUUUUAUAAAAUUCUUGUGCUCUGUUUAAAUAGGCUUUACGACAACUGCCCAUGAGUUUUGAUGACAUAGAUGUGAAGUUGGGUGCAACACUAUAUGUUAACCGGGCCGCUGCUAUGCAUGUAAGUCUUUAUUACUGGGCUUUGCCUCUUAAAUGGUAAAUCAUGGGUGUUAAACACUUAAACUAGAGCCACAAAAUUAGGACAAGCAUUGGACUAGCUCAUCCAUCUCUUUUGCAGUCCAAUGAGAUACAAAGAGGGUAUCUCCAACUGCUGAGAUCUGACGGCAAAAGUUGCAAGCCAUUUGAGCAUGCAUGCAAGUUCUCAUGAUAAUUAAAUACAAAGAGAAUAGGGAGAAAAUUACAGACGCUAAGAGAUUGAGAUAAAUUCUUGUCACAUUCUGUAGCAUCUUAAUUUAUAAUGUCUCAUCACACCGUUUCUAUGUUACUAAUGUUUUGUUCUACUUGUAAUUUAAUUCUCUUCUGUUUUCGCAGAAAUUAGGUCUUUUUGAAGAGUGCCUGCGGGAUUGCAACAGGGCCAUUGGACUUUUGCCCAGUUAUGUGAAGGUAAGAGGGUAAGCAACUAGACUACACAUACUAAAAUUGCAAAAGUUUUACACAUUUGAUUUCUUUUUUUCUUCUAUUAUGUUUGAUGAAGUAGUUGUCAUCAAGACAUUAUGUGGUAACAAGAGACAUCACUGUUUAUUUGACUAAGAUGAUAGUAUAGUGAAGUCCUUUUCUCAUUUAUCAUCAUUUUGGCUGACAUUGUUACUAUCCUUAGGACUUGUCAGAUAUGUGUGCAGGUUUUUAUUGGCCCAUUUUCCUUUAAUUGCAGGCAUGGUAUAGGAGAGGAAAGGUAAAUGCUUCUUUAAGAAACUAUGUUGCUUCCGUAAGUGAUUUAGAGGUUGCGUUGAGUAUGGAAAGCAGCACCUCUGGCAAAAGCAUCAUACAAGAAGAGUUGAAGAUGGUAACAGGCAAACAUGAUGGCACAAAUGGAGCUCGCAUACCGAACAAUAGUGACACAGAAAAGGAAUUGACAUCUUUAGGUCUGCAUUUUUCAGAUAUCUUGAAAUAUUCUUUCUUAUAUUUUUAUCAAUUUUGAUCAGAUGUUUGCCUAGUUUACCAAACGCAUGAAUCAUAUUGUCAUUUCCAACCCUCUUUUUAAGCUGUGUUCUAAAUGCUUUUCUGUCACAACUCAUUUCUGGAAAACAGCACAUGAUAGAAUUAAGUAACAUAGAAUGUUUAGAAGGAGAUAGAUUGCAGCUAGUUCAGUUUGUCAGCUCAUGGAGACCAAAUAAGAGAUAAUUCAUGAAAAGGAUAAACAUAUUGGAGUCAAUAUUUCUUAAUUUAUUUGCAAUUAGUAGCUUCACCUUGUUACACAUGCCAUUCUGCUUGUCAUGUCUAUAUUUUAUCAUGAGUGAAACUUGCAGCAUGGAUUUUUUUUUUUUUCAAGCAACUGACUAUUUAAAUAUUCCUAUAUAUGUUCAUGGGACUGAUGUUGUUUGGCCUUGUGACAGCUGACUCGCAUCCUGUAGUACUACAAUGUGUCUCAACUCCCGCUAAAGGCAAAGGAAUGGCUUCUCCAAAAGACAUUCCUCCAGCUUCUUUGCUUCAUACUGAAGAACCACUUGCUGCGGUACAAUAAAGAUAUCUCCUAAGCUAUUAAAAUAAUUCCUUCAUUUAUCCUCUAUAAUCUGAUGCCUGUGUGACCUCACUAUUGUCUCGGUGGGAAGUGAUACCUUGCAUUUCCUCUAGUUGGAAGCAUUUUGCAGUGCUUUAACACAUUUUAAGCUUUUAGAGAAAUUCUUUGUUGCGCAUCGUGUUAGAGUAGGAAGUGCUAAGUUCAAAUCCAGCCUAGUAGGCGCAAUUUAUAUUGAAGAGAAAGACUUCUAUCUAUUUAAUUCAAAGCUGUGUCGUGGGUCUAUUCGCACGCCCAGACCAAAGGACUAUUGCUUAGACCAUAUUGAAAAGCUAUUCUCUUGCUGCUUAAGUUUUACAGAAAUCAGUUGUUCCAUACUUGUAUACGCUUAUUUUUCUUGAUCAUGUGCAGGUUGUGAUGAAAUCAUGCCGGGAGACUCAUUGCCAUUUUUGCUUCAAUGAAGUUCCUGCAGAUGUUUUAUUCUGUUCAUCAUGUACAAUACCAAUUUACUGUUCACAGAAGUGCCAAGAACAAGCUGGAGGAGAACAAUUUUGUUGGAACCGAGCUUUUUGUCCUGCUCAAAACAAUUUUUCUCCAGAUCUUGCAAAGCAUAUUACGGAUGUUACGAGUGCAAAUUAUACCAAAAAUAUUGAAAAUGAUAAACACUUCGAGCACAUUCCUGAACACAGACAUGAAUGUGGAGGCACAAAUUGGCCCGCUGUUUUUCCCCCUGACAUAGUUUUGGCCGGUCGAGUAGUGGCAAAUAGUAUGGAAAAAAGAAGAUUAGCCGGGAAGAUCUCUGUUCCUAUGGAAAAUUUUGUGAGUUCAUGUUUCUCUUGAGUCUUGACUACAUAUCUUUUCCUAUUCUCAACAUUUAUGAAAGAGUUCCUUGCUAAAUCAGUUGAGUUCUUGGUUGACAGGAUUUUGCUCACCACUAUGAUAAAAUCCCUCCAGAUAGCAAGUUGGAGUUUCAUAUGUAUGCAAUUGUCUUGUCAUUCUGUCUCCAGACCUAUUAUAGCAUGGAUUUUCCAUGCACUGAGUCUACAGUAUCGCAGGUAUUCAUUAAUUUUCUUUUCAAAAUUCCCUGUUAUUUAGUAAGAACGUAGAAUGAUGGAUCAAAUUUAGCCAUAGAAUCAGUGCUCAUUUCAAUUUAUUAUAACACUUAAGUAGUUGUAGAGUUAUAUUGGCAUGCAAAAUAUUGUGACACCAGAAUGUCUAUUGAAAUGUAUUGCUUCUCCAUGACUUGUGAAAUAGACUAGGUUUAGAUGUUACAGCCUGUGUCCUGAACAACCCGUGUCAGAGUUUGUGUUUUAUCGAAAUUUUGGAGGUUUGGUGCUUAUUUAUGGUAAGAACAGACUUUCAAAAUUUUGUUGUUAGCUCUGUUAGAAUGCAUGAAUAUAUUGCCUUUUAUUAGUACAAAAGAGGGUAGAGAUCAGAUUAGUUCCGUUGAUAUAGUCUCUUUACUUUCUUCUGGAAUGAGCUCUGUGAUUUGAUUUGCCAUUUAUCCCUAGUGAGUACAGAUAUUGAGUGCAUAUUUCUGUCUGGACAACCUGUCUGAGUUCCUACAUAACACCAUAAAUUGUUGGUGUGGAUUGAGAAAGUGUUCUAACAUAAAACCAAUAACUACAAUUUAAAUAAUAAGACCCUGAAGUCUUUAUAAGCCUGCAAUUGAUAAGCUUGCAAUCGAUGGUAAACAAUCAAGAAUUUUGAGUUUGCAUCCCUGUCUAGUCCUGGAACGUCUUUCAAACUAUAUCAGGUCUGGUCAUAUGAACACCUGCAUACUGUCAAGACAGGUCAAAUCCUCAGAUUAUGAGGUCUAAUGUCUUGCCUAAAUAGGGGUACAGAAAACCUGUAUUACUAUUUGCCUUUUUUAAGUGUUUAUGCUGAUAGCCACGUACUCCCUUUUUUCUCUCAUUUGAAAGGGACAAAAUGUUGGAUGUUAAAUUUUCUGCUAGUUUUAUUUUAUCAAAUUACUGUCCUUACUGUUCAUACUGUUCAUCUCUUUUACAGUUGGUUCUGCUAAUAUGCCAAAUUAAGGUCAACUCGAUGGCUAUUAUCCACAUAAAAUCUACAGACGAAGCUGAGAAGUUUAAGAAGGGUCAAAAACUUUCUGCAGUUAAUAAUGUGCUUAGUAGCAUAGAGCAGGUUAGCUUGAAAAUUUCACGCUCGUUGCUAUUAUUUUAACCUACGCAAUUUCUUAGUGCAGCUAUCUGUUUAGACUGAAGAACUACUCAUUGAUGGAAAAUAUCUAGAUAUGUUCACCUUAUUACUCGUAGCAAUGAAAGACACCCAAAUCUUUAUUUUUGCAUUAGAAUCCAACUCAUGCAGCUCAUGACAUAUUUUUCAGUCGUUACAUGACCCUAAUACUUUUGGUCCCAUUUCUCCUUCCUUCCAGGUUAGGGUUGGCCAAGCUAUUUAUCUCACUGGCAGUUUGUUUAAUCAUUCAUGCCAGCCAAAUGUUCACGCUUAUUUUCUUUCACGUACCCUCUUUCUGCGUUCAACAGAAUUUGUACCUGCGUGGUCUCCACUUGAGCUAUCAUAUGGUCCUCAGGUAAUAUGUAAAUUCUCCUCUGUUUCUAUAUUAAAGUCUGACCGCUUCAACCUCCCUCUUCACUUUCUUGCUUAUAUGUUUCUUUUGUAGGUCGGCCAGAUGGAUCUCCUGGAGAGACAGAAAUCACUCGAAGAGCAGUACUAUUUUACAUGCCAGUGUUUAAGUUGUUCAGAGUUGAACCUCUCAGACCUUGUCAUUAAUGCAUUUCGGUGUCCCAAGCGUAACUGUCUCGGUGCAGUGGUAGAAACUGCUUAUCAAAAACCACAACAUGAAAAUUUUGUUCAACUAUCUGCAAAAUCUCAUGUUUGCAGACUCUCAUUGCGAGUAUUCUACUUACCCUUUUAAAACAAUUCCAAUCUCAUGUAGUCUUAGCUCUUAAUGAAUAGUUCUUUUGAUGAUUUUCUAUUCUCUUUAAGAGUCUUGCAUCUCGCUAGGAUUCUGUGAGUGACAAAGAAAUUCAGAAGGUGGCCCACAAAUUGCUCGAAAAAUCUGGUGCCUUCUCCCAUGUUGGUCCUGCAUAUUGCUUGAGUUGUGGCUCACGCAUCGAUUUAGAUUCUGCCAUUGCUACGUCCAACAAUGCUUUGUUAAGUAUCAAAAGGUAUGCUUUUCUAGAUCAUCCAAAGUUGACCUUUCUGUUGGUAGAUGUGAAGAUCUUUAUAGAUACAUUCACAGGUUAAAGGAUUCUAUAAUCCUGAAUGAUGGUAUUGGAAUCUCAAAUGCAUUGCAUUUGCUUGAUCUCCUUAAAUCAGUUAGGCAUCCAUAUAGCAAGCUUGUUGCUCAGGUAAGUUUUUUUUACCAUGUUAAUCUCUUAUUAUCAAAUUAAUGCAGAAUUGUGGGCGAUUUUGUUGUCGCUAUUUAGUUUUGAACUUUUUAUUGUGUUCAUUGAGGUUUUAUGACAUCAGCAACAGUGUACGAAUUUUAGUAGUUAAUGAGUGUAAUGUAUAGGAUGUAAUUACCGGCGAUGAGAACUGAUACUGUGGGAAGGUAUUGAAGGCUUUUAAGUAUGUUCUUCAAUAAAUGUAUUGCAAUAAUGCAGGCUGAAGACUAUAUAGCAGAGGCCUUUGUUAAGAUUGGAAAUCUAGAACCUGCAACAAAGCACUGCAACGCUUCGAUCAAGGUAUUAUAUUUCUUAAAUCACUUAACAUGGUAGUAAAUUUUCCUAGUAGUAUUCCAGUUCCAGCACCUUGAGAUGAACAUCAAUGAUAUUUCCAUGUUGGAUGAUAAAGUCAGAAGCUAAUGUUAGUUACAAGGUGAGCUAGUUUAUCUAUUAACUGAUAUUCCUUAUAUAGUGUGAUCUACAUUAGCCUUGAAUAUCUAAUUUUCAGCCGUUAAUUUAAAAAAACUGUACUGCUUGCUGGGAUAUUGUUUGUCUUUCUAAUUUAAUAAUAUUGAAGUGAAUGGCUGCAAUAAAAUUAAGAACAAAAACAAGUAGCGUAAGGAUCAAUAGAAAAAGAUGGAUCCAUCUACUUAUAUAUGGAACUCUGGGUUUGAAAUAUGUGACUGUUAUUGUUAAGUAUGCAAAAAAUGACAGCAAAAGAUCUGAUGCAUAAUGUUAUUAUCUUACUAGCUUUACAUAUAAAUCCAAUGUCAUAUUGCUUUGUUGUCAUGCAAUAAAUUAUAAUUCGAAAUAUGGCAUGUGGAGACAUAGUGUGUUUUGCGCUCUCAAUUUUGGUUAUGUGAGCACUUUGAAGGCUAGGUAACAUUGUCUAGAUCAUUUUACAGCUGACAUCAAUAGUGUAAAGCUAUAAGCAUGCAAAACUAGUUCUUUAUGUUGUGAGCUGUCGUCUUUGCCUGGUUUUCUUUUCUGAUGAGACUUCCAUGCUUGCUCGUCACUGCCAUCUCGGAGCAGUUCUUUAAGUCCUUUCUGCCAAUUAUUAUAUGCAGAAUCAAGAAAAUUAAUGUGUGAAAUUAUAUGUUAAAUUUGAGUAUAAAAUACUCUAUAUCUUUUAUUAAGCGCUUUCUAAUUGAGCAUCUUAACUUAUCAUCUAACAGAUCCUUGAAAAGCUUUACCAUGCCAAGCACAUUGUCGUCGGACAUGAGUUAAUCAAGCUUGCAACUAUUCAGCUGCACUUAGGUGAUGGCACCGGCGCUACAGAUAGCAUAAAGCAAGUCGAGGUGAUAUUUUCACUUCAUUAUGGGCCUGACGUGAACAAAAUAUUUCCAUAUAUUGGUAUCCUGAAAGAAGAUGCCGUUAGCAUUGCUUCACGUUUGUCAGUAUGAGCCAUUCAACUCAAAUCUACUUCCCUUCCGUGGUCCAACAAGUUCAAUUUGAUGAGAUCUGGGUUUGAUUUGAUCUGAAUUGUUGGCUACCAUAUAAUUUUUAACAUGAUUCCCUCAUUAGUUAAUUCAUUGAUUUAUCAAUUAUCAAAAGAAUUACAUGAAAACUAAGCCAAGCCAAAUCAACAAGCGAUGGGUACGACUACAAAGGAUUUGUUCUCAAGCUAACAAGGUAGAUGUCAUAGUUUGUGAGACUGACAUAAAUUUGGCUCAUCAAUCAGAAGUAAAAGACAACAGUGGCAUACAAAUUGACAAAUUGAAUGUACAGUGGGGGCUCACAGAUUGAAUGUACAAUGUGGAGGCUCAUGAAGCUGUUGAUACUACAAGCUCGGCCCACGCUAACGGAGUAUCUUUAAGAACUGCUGCUGGCAAUGUCUCGAUAGCAGCUUCCAACACAGCAGUUAUAAUCUGCAUGGAUGGCCUCUUAGUCGGUUCAUGUUCGAGGCAGAGGCUUACUGCAUUGCAGAUUACGGACAGUGUUUCAGGCUUGACAUUUUUAAGUUCCGGGUCAACCAGCUUACUGGUAUCUUGUGGAUCGCCCAAAUAUUGUAGAGCCUGAAACCAACGAUAUAAACCAAUGUUCAGCAGAUUUAUGUAAGUUAAUGUACAUGCAUCUUAACAUACAAAUAUAUACCAAAAAAAAAUUUGCUUUUAAGUUUGUUUUGACUAAAUAUGACAAGGAUACGAAAAGUUUGAUAAGAACUCAUGACGUCUGAACUCUUAAUUGUGAGGAAUUGAAAGAUCUUCAAAAAACUUUCAACUCCUUACAGAUCUACUGCAUACUUUUUGCAGCCUAAAUUUACUGCUGCUAAAAAAGAAAAUGCAAGCCUCUUUUACCAACGUUUGAGUUCUAAAGAUAAUGCAAGCCUAUUUUUUCUUUUAAUAGAUAAGAUGAAACACCCCAGCGAAGGAUAAAACGACUUUAGAAGCAUAAUAUUUCAUUUUGAAAUAUCAGGUUCGCGAGCAGAAGCUGCAGGAUGCCGAAUAUACUAGUUAUUUACUAACUGAUGUAGCAUAGGUAAUUAUUCACUGCAAGGAUUCCAUUGCAAUGAUAGCAACUAGUCCCUAACUAUAAGUUAAGAGUCAAUUUGACAUCAGUAGAAAACAGUAUUCAGCUAACAGUUUUGUUUAUGGUUCACGAUGAAAAGAAAUCACUUACCCAGUCCACCAAGCAACCUCGCUCCUUGCAAAAUGCAGGUCUCCCACUAAUCAGCUCCAAAAGAAUAACUCCGAAUGCAAAUGUGUUAGCCUGGACAUCCAUAUAUCUCCUUUGACGAGAAUCAAUAUAGCUGUGAAAUAAACCUCCAUUGACAACACAUGCAGUGUUCAUCCCCGGUUUUGAGAGUAUAGUUUUCCAUCUUUCAAAGUCAACUAACUGCAAGAUAAAGAUGAAGAUAAGCUUAUGAUGAGUAGAACCUAAAGAGUUCCAUAUAUUACCGUGCAUAAAAUGAACAACGCAAUGCACCCAAAGAGCCACUGAAAAUAAAAUUAUAAUGAUAGAUGUCGCGAUUUAAAGGCUUUAAUUAACAGAACGCAAUGUUAUGUCAUGAUCAUAUACAAAUGAUUGGAAGUAUAGAGUACCAAAACUAAGCAAACAAGUUUUGUGAUGGAGAGUAAGUUCAAGCAAAAACAAUAAGCUGUUCAAUAGAUGAAAAUAAGGUAAAUCAAGGUCAGAGAAAGCAUAAUAAACAUGAUAAGGUCAGUGCCUGAUCUAAAGGAAAAGGAAGGAAGCAUAAUAAGUAAACAUGAUAAUGUCAGUACAUGAUCUACAGGAAAAAGAAGUACAGCAGUUUCUGACUCUCAUACUAAGUUACUAGCCCAAAUUUGUAUAGGAAACAUCAUAAAGUGGUCGGGUUUUCGACUUCAUUUGUUUAUAUAUUUCAAAAUUAUGACCGCAACCAUUAUAUCCAAACUAAUGCUAUUUGACCAAGUAUAUUUCCAAUUUUGUGCAGUUCUAACUAUCCUUGGGGCUUCAUGAUUAUCAAGUCAAAUAUUCUUAUUCAGUUUAAAGUAAACAUAUUAGUCAAGUAAGGUAACUUUUUAGUCAUGAGAAGACUGAAAUUAGUAAAUCGAUGUUCUCGGUUAAUUAUUUCUUGAAAAAACUGACCAAUUAGACAAAAUAAAAAGUUUAAACAAUCUAUUAUUUGUAAACAAAUAGCUGUACUUUCGGAGAGAAAUCUUCGGUAAGAUAUACUGCACUGGAAGUUAACUCUGCUAUAGCAAAAGGAGGCUGCAGUUCAGUGUGUAAGUAUCUCAGCCCAUAAGCGAUACCAAGAGCAAUUCUCAUGCGCCUAGGCCAUGACAUUUGGCAUCCAUCACCAUCUAAAAGAAAAUAAAAAAUUGACGGUUGAAAUUUGUCGAAAUAGCCAAUCUCAUAUCACAAGCAAGAGCGAUUUUUCUUCAACUUACAAUGGAGGUGCUCACAGAGUGUCCCAUUAGAUGCAUAUUCAAGAACUAGCAUUCUUGAAAAUGGAUUGCUUUCGUUGCAGUAACCUAACAACUUAGCUAUGUUUUCAUGAUUUAUCCGUGCAAGGUCUGCUACCUGAAGCAAUAGUAUAAAAACAUGCUUAGUUAAAAUUUGUUGUACUUAAAAAGAUGGAUGAGAUGAAAUGAUUACCUCUUUCUGAAAGUAAAGUUCAACAGAGCUAGUCCAGCAGUCUUCUAAGAUGCAAAGAGAUAUAACAGCAAUUUCAGGCCCAGCCUUCAUAGUGCCUUUGUAUACUACAGCAUCUGAAGAAGACCCAAUUAUGUUGCUGAAAUCUUCACAAGCUACUUCAAGCUCCUGACGGCUUACUUUCAACACACCUUUCAACAAGUCUUCAUCUACAAAAUGCAGCAAGUAAAUUAAUGAGCCAACAGUAUCCUCCAAAUCGUACUGCAAUAUGAGAGAGCGAGAGAGAUAGAGAGAGUCAUGCUAGUAGUAACUGAUUGGUAUUACUGUCUGAUCCUUCCAGCUUGUGCUUCUCCCUGGAGGAAUGACGGUGGAGGAUUUCGAUUUGCAUCUCUUAGUGGCACCAACAAUAUAUGUAAUGAGGAAAAGUGCGAAAAUGGUUCCAGUAAUUAUUUCCAAAAUAAGAAGCCAUAGUGGUUCCUUUCGCUUAUUAUGCUUAUGCUUUUCUCUGGGAUUACUGUAUGUUUCUUCUGUUAUUUGCUGGCCAUUUGCACCUGAAAAUUUAAAAAGAAAUUCAAGGUUCAAUUCCACAUGACAAUCUAAAAGGAAAAUACUGAUAUAUGAUCCAUAUAUCAAACAGAUAAUACAGAUCUUAGAUCAUGGUAUAGGAUUAACAAUUGUUUCUAAUACCUAUAAAUAAAUUGUAAAAAGAGCUUGCAUUUGAAGCAUGUAAAAUUGAAAUAAAUUGGAAGCCUAUGCACAUUUUCGGAAGUAGCAAAACCUCAAUAGUUACAAAGUCAGUGGUUUGCGUAGAGUGUGGAAGGUAUGGCACAACCAUUCCAAAAGGAGAACUAUCGGAUAACACAAUAUUCAACACAUUUUUUGUGUUCCAAAUAAAUCCAUUUUUGCCAGUCGAAAAAAAGUAUGGAUAGACUUCUGACCUCACACUACUUUGCUAAUAAAUGGGACAUCAUAUUCUUAGUGAUAGACCGUUUUUAGAAAGGUUAUCUCACAUUUUUGAGCAGGAUGAUUCAAGUAAUCACCAUCAUUGAAGCAAUUUCCCUCAAAGCUUAAUCUGUAGAAGAAGGCUGUAGAAUAUAUUAAAUUCAGAUAAAAAAAAAGUUGUCUUAAAUGUUUAACCAAAGUUUGUACCUUGGAAGUCUCCUGAAGCAUUUAGGUAUUUCCCCAACAAGCAUAUUAAAUGAGAAGUUUGCAUCUUUCAGCUGAGAUAAUUGGCACAAACCAGUAUCCUUUCCUUCAGAGGAUAAACUGAAUGAAUAAAAACUUACAGUUAAAAUCCAGAGCAAGUACAUAAUCAAAUUCUAAAGUUUUUCGUAAUCAGGUGGUUUAAGUAUCAGUUGUCUUUCAAGCUAGAAUUCCAAUUAAAAAAUCUUACACCUCAGUAAUGGCAAUGCACCAACAACUACAGUACUAUGAUCAAUAUACAUUGCAUUGUAAAAUAAAUAAUUUAAAAUUUCUUCACUGGCAAUCGCAGUAAUAUGAGAGAGAGAGAGAGAGAGAUGAUUUUGAAAUCUUUUCUACUAUCUAUCGCCCUUAUACAUGAAGAUAACAAAUUUGAUAGCUAGAGCUAGAGCCUCUUGUCCUCCAUUUGCUUUCUAUGUUGAUGGUUUCUAAAACAAAUCAAAAUCAAACCAAUUUUUUUCAAAAUUUUCCAACGCAAAACCGAAUCGGUUAUAGGUUGAAUCGAUCAAAAUUUAGGUUAUCAGUCUAAUUUCUGUUUUCCUCAUCCUUACUUGUAGAUCUCACGAAUGGACCAUCUACAUGCCUAAAUUUGAAGCUAUGGAGUUUGCUAUCAGCUAGAAAAGAGUAAAAAGAUUACAAGCGGGUCAUUUUAAGGCCUUCAGUGCCAUAAUAAAACCAUUUUGGAGAAUCUUCACGAUUAGGAGAGUUGUUCAGAAUAUUGAAAAUAUUAUAAACCAACAGAAUACUUAAAGCUAAUGUCAAAUGUCACGGUUAUUCCUUAAACUUCACUUCACAAAUACCCAGCAAAGAAGAUCACUCACUUCUGUGAACUGUUGUUUCCAGGGAUAACUCCAGUUAGCAUGUUUUUGUCCAUACGCAGCUCAACCAUGCUCACCAGUUUACCAAGCUCAGAGGGUAUAGUGCCAGUUAACAUAUUUGAGUGAAGAUCUCUGAGAAUAAUUCAGUAGCAAAAUACAUAAAAACACUGGAAAAACUCGAAAACAAAUAAUAAGGAUAAAUCAAUAUAACUGUUGUUUCCUACAAUUUUAAGAUGCUGGUCAAGUCACCAAUUGCCGGAGGGAUGGGCCCCGAUAGUUGAUUUGAACUCAAAUUCAACAGGGUUAGGCUUUUCAACAUGCCAAUUUCUUCCGGUAUUGGCCCAAGAAGUUCAUUGUCAUUCAAAACUCUGCAGCAAAAAAAAAAAAGAAAAAAGAAAGAAAGAAAGAAAGAAAACUUGAGAUGCUCAUAGAACAACUUCCACGACAUGACAUUGUCCAUGAUAACAAUGUUUUUUUUUUUUUUUGAGAAAAAGGUAGCGCGCUACCCGCUUAUCCAUGAUAACAAUGUUAAAAAGAAUUAAACAGCAACUAAAAGGCUUGCAUACAGUUCUUGCAAAUAACUAAGAGAUCCAAGCGCCGGUGUGAGGAAUCCCGUCAACGACGAAUUGGGCAAGUUACUGCACAAGCCAUAAAAUGUAUCAAAUCUCACAAAAUUCAGGCAAAACACUAGGUUCUUGAGCAAUUAAUCCUAAUGACAAUACAUCCAUAAUUUUUAUACAUAAUCCAAAAAUCUGUAAAGCACAAUUCAGAUCAAAAUCGAUUCAAUCCAUUACUUACAUAGAAAUCACGUGAUUCUGAGGAAAGGCACAGAUGACACCGAGCCAGCCACAAGGAUUCGCAUGUUGGGCAUUCCAAUUGGAUAAAAUCGAACGAGGGUCCUCAUAGAUGGCCUUCUUGAAAGCGCUUAGCGCAGAAACUGCGGAAUCAAACAAUACCGCAUCACAAAAUCAUUUCCAUCCUCAUAAUCUCGUUCGAGAGAUCUAAAAUUCCUCAAAAGAUAACUUAAAGAGGACAAACAUCGAGAAAAAUCCAUGAAAACUGAUUCAAAGAUUCCGAUCGAGAUGAAGACAAAGAAAAUAAGAGCUUACCCUCGUCGGGAUCGGAUUGAGAACGGGCGAAGAGGCACCCCCACGCAAGCGCGAGAAGCAGAGGGCGAAACCCUUGAAUCCAACACAUGUCUCCGCGAAAUAGACGCGAGACCGGAGCGGAUGCAUGCAAGAAGAAGAAGAAGACGACGACGACGACGACGACGACGACGACGACGCACAAAGCCCUCAACCCUAGGAGAAACGAGAGGAGAAGAGGAGAAUUGGAGAGAGAAGCGAACAAAAUAAACGAGGAAAUGUGCGAGAGCGAAGCGUAGAGAACGAAGGUAUAGAGCGAGCGAGCGAGAGAGAGAGAGAGAGAGAGAGAGAGAGAGAGAGUCGAAAAAAAAACAACAACGAGGAAGAGUGAGAGAGCACGGCAUGUUUUAUCGCCUGUCGAAAAAUUCAAAAGAGGGGGAACCCAAAAAAAAAAAAAAAAAAUUGAAAAUGUACGGGGAGGCCUUAAGUAUUAAAUUUAACUUAUCUGUUUGAUUAAGACACCCUCAACUUCUAACUUUUCACAAAAAAGUAACUUCAAUUAAAAAACUAAAAAGCUUUAUUAAAUUUGAUAAUUUUAAUUAUUUUUUAUCAAAUAAAAUUAGGUUAUUUAGUGAUUAACAACCAGUAGAGUUUUUACACAUAGAAUAGCUUAGUUAUGUAUAAAAAUAUAAAUAAAAACAAUUUGGAAGUUUAAGGGGUCAAGAGAACCCCCAACUAUAAGCAAUUUUAAAUUGAUCUACCAAACUUUAUUUAUUAUUAAUUAAAAUAUCUUCGGUCAGGUAAAUAAAAGAGUUUGAUAAAAAUUUACAGUUCAUCGUCGUGCAUUGAACUGUUAACUAAUUAGAUCCGCUAAACUUGAUAAAAUUAUUUUUAAAUUUAAUAAAAUUUUAUUUUUAUAAAUUAAAUAGUUAAAUAAAAACGAAAGAAUUAUUUUUUGUUCCAACAGAUGCUAUUCCAUAAUGAAUGGCUAAAAAUUGAUUAGAAGCUGCUUGGACAGUGAUUUGCUUGGGGAUGCUAUAUGAGGGACUACAAUGCAAAUGUGUGAUCUCCGCUAACUUAAGUAUUUUUCUCUUUCAGUUAAUUACGUAUUUAUCCAUAUUCAGGUAUGUUGAUUAUUGAGGCUAUGAAAUGCAUGUUGGACUUUUAUGUCAAUUACAUAUUGUGGCGCCCAUUCAAAAUGAGUAUGCUUUCACAUGUAAUUAAGUAUCAUAACUAAGUCGAUCUUAUUUAACUCAGCAACCACACUCUUAUUAGUUAGUGGCGGAUAUUCAAGAUCAAGGAUUCGAACUUUACCUUGUGCUUUUAUUAGCAGAGCGUUUUGAGCCUCCAACUUCGUAGAAAAAAAAUUAUAUAUAUACAGAGUUCUUAGAUCAGAAGCAUAGUAACAUAAAAGGAUCUAAUACAUUUAUUUAUAAAAAAAUUCAAAUACCACUCCUAUGAUUUUUACUUUUUCGCUUUGGUAUCAUAUAGUUUAAAAUGUAUCGAUUUAGCGUCUGUAGUUUUAUUUUUUUCUUUUUAUUAUUUCUUUCACUAUUUUUUUUCGUUAAAUUAGUGAUAAAGUUAAAACUAAAUGGUACUAAAGUGAAUAUUCGAUAAACAUAGAUAGAAUAUCUGAGGUUUUUUUAAUAUAAUUUAGCGAAAUAUUAACGGACGAGCUGACGAAAAAUGAAAAAUGAAACCACAAAGUACUAAAUUGAUACACUUUAAAUCACAAGAUGCUAAAGUUAGAAAGUGUGAAAUUUUAGAGGUGGUAUUUAAAGUUUGACUUUUAUUUAUUUAGUCUCUCGAUUAGAAAAAAGUUAAAUUGGAAAAUUAAUUAAUUAGUUUAGGAAUUCUAUUUUGCUGUGACAAGAAACUAUGAAAUUUGGGCUCGUCACUCUAGCAUUUGGCACGUGCUUUGCACGCGAAUGGUAGGCACCUUGUACAUGCCCAAAAUGAGAAUAACUUAUUAGAUAUUUGUUUUGCUAGAUGUUAUUAGUUGCUUUUGAUGUCCACGUAUGUAUAUCUAUAUUCAUAUGACCAGUCAAAUUUAGUCAUUUAGCUGGUAUAGCUACCAGCUGUUAGAUAUUGGAUAGCCAUCGCCCCCCCACCCCAAAAAAACAUCAUCAUCAUAGCAUUCUUUUUUUCUUUUUUUUUCUUUUUUUUUUUUUUGGGAAAUAGGUAGCAAGCUACCAUCAUCAUAGCAUUCAAAAAUGAAAACUUUCGCUAUCAGAAGAGUCUAUUUGGUACAGCAGCAGCCAAUACUAAACAAACUGGACCAGAUUCCACUAAGAAAUUCAUUGCUUUACAUAAAAGAACUGCUACAAAGAUUAUAGUACGAUGGUAUCUAAUAAGCUGAUAAACACAAUAUUUAAUAUAUAUAUAUAUAUAUAGAGAGAGAGAGAGAGAGAGAGAGGGAGAGAGAGAGAGAGUGUGUUAGAGGAGCUAUAAAAUUUUUGAUAGUAUCAAACACUUUGUGCUUAUAAGUUUUUUGUUAUUAGAUCUACCUUUUCAAUCAUUUUUAUCCGUUAGAUUAUACUAUUCAACCAGCCACACAUUCAAUCCUAACAGGACCAUUAUCAUUCUAACCGCAUAUUCUCUAGUCUAAGGGGCCGAAAACCUACUAGUACUAAUAAUUUCAUACUUUUCAAAGUAUAGGAGCUUAAUUAUAUAUAUGUAUAGAAUUAGGCUGGAAUACUAUUAAUAGUAAAACGCUUAUUUUGCUAUCAAGUUUUUAACCCUUGGAUAAAAAAUUGUAGAGUCAGAAUGAUAUUAGUCGGUUAGAGUUGAGUGAUCCCUCUAGGGUUGAGUGGUUCCUACUGGGUUAUAGUAUUUAAUCCAAUAGUUAGAAAUAAUGAAAAGAGUUGAUCCAAAGGCUAAAAAACUGAUAGCAAUAAUAAAAUUUUGUUACUAAUAGUAUCCCAGUCCAACUAUAUAUAUAUAUAUAUAUAUAUAUAGAGAGAGAGAGAGAGAGAGAGAGAGAGAGAGAGAGAGAGAGAGAGAGAGAGAGAGAGAGAGAGAGAGAGAGAGUAGAGCUAGAAUACUUUUACAAGUAUCACCCAAGUGGUACUUGUGUGUUUUUAGCCCUUGGAUGGAGAGAUGUGAGGUUGAGAUGAUGGUGGUAGGUGGUGGUAGGUGGAAUAGUGUUUGAUCCAAGGCCUAUUAGUAAUCAAAAAGUAGAUCCAAUGGCUAAAAACACACAAGUAUCACUUGGGUGAUACUUGUAAAAGUAUUCUAGCCCUACUCUAUAUAUAUAUAUCUUAUUUUAAAUAAAUUUAAAAAAUUUUCUAACUAAAAUUCAAUUAAUUUAAACUUAUUUACACCAUUAAAUAAGUAAACCUCUUGUUUCGACCAUUAAAAUUACAAAAUUUGCAAUACAUUGAUCAUUAAGAUCAAUGAUGUUGAAAAGAUUAUAAAACUUUAAACACAAGUUUUCCUUCUUGCAUUUAGAUGCUUACCCCCCCCCAACUAUUGGCUCUAAUUCGUCAACGUGAGAACAUUGCGUACAACUAAAGAACCUUUUGUUCUACUCCAAUGAAAAGAAGCAAUGUCAAUACAACCAGAACCAAAAAUCAUAAUACUCUGCACAAAUACUACCCCACGCAUUCAUUACACAAACCAAGGUUACAUGGCUCCUGUUACCCACACACAAAUAAAAAAAAACAAAGGAUUACUGGCUCCAGUUUUCAAAUAAUGGUAACUACUGGAAUAUUAUACAAAUAGAACAGAGAGUGUAGUUUGACUAUAAACAAGGAAAAAUUUAGGUCGGUCACAAUACUGAUGAAUUAUUACAACAGAAAAGAAGCAUCAGAAAAUAUUUAAUGUGAUCAUACUAUCACUGGGACAACUGGACAAGAAAAGAGCCUGUUCAUUUCCACAGAAUCAGCAAUAAUUUGACACCCCAAUCCUUUUCCCAAUCAUGCAAGCUCUUACAGAAACCACAGGUAACAAGAUUACUUGCGAACUACAGCGACUGAUCUCUGAGUCUGUCCGCUUGCAGAGAUAUGAGCCAUUUGCCAUGAUGAUGGCUUAACUCGCCCAGCCAACAAAGCAGAUGCUGUAGCUGCUUUUAUCUUUCUCCUCUUUAACUCGAGCUCUAAUCGUUUGCUACCUGAUGCAGAGCUCGAUGGCUCCACAAAUAUAGAAGCAGCCUUGAUUGCCGCCCGUUUAUCCCUCCUGUUUUUCUCAAAUUUUGAUGAGAAUCUAACCGCAGCUGCGGCAGCUGCAUCUUCUGAAGAGGGUGGAAGAAGUCUUACUCCAAGGCCCAUCUUUCUUGCAACCUCUGUUUCUUCAGCAACCCUUUUCUUUUGGCUCUAUAAAGAGAGAAAACAGAUGGGCAACAUUAUGAAUUUUGUGAAGGAUAAUUGCCGUCUGCAAGAUAAUUAAGGUGAAAGUGAAAAUAGGACAAGUGAACUCACUCUAAGACGAUCACGGAGGGCUCUAUUAAGACUAUAGUCAUUGGAGUGCCUACUGUCCGAAACUCUCUGAAGGCGGACUAGCACUGGUUCUGCUUCUUUCUUCUUCUGAAGAUCUUCUUCCUGAUGCUCAAGUCGGUAGAAAGGAUCGGCAAGUUUUCCUCGUUCUACAUCAAGUUUUUUAAUAGCAUGUUAGUCCAACAACAAAAAGAAUGAAGGGAAUACCAGAUACUUGUUUCCAAAAUGAAAGAAAACUGCAGUACCUUCAUCUGCUGGAAGAGCAAAUGUUUCUGCAUCUUCAAUGUCAAAAUCUUCUGUCUUCCGCUGAGCUCCACUUAUGAUGACAUACUCGCAGUUCUUAGGAUCCGUCUGUAUGAUGAUUUCAUGCUUACAGCAUGCUGACUUCAUAGUGAAGCUCCAUAUCUAUAGCACAAGCAAAUAACAGAACACAAUUAGGACAUAUAUUGCUAAUGAUUAAGAGGUCAAUAUACAGUAUUAAAUUACUAAAUGUCAAAAACGGUCUGAGAAGAGAGGUUUCGAAGCAGAUGAUAUCCAGAUAUCAUCAACCUAAAAUUUCAUCAAUUAACAAGAUAAAGCUUUGCAAUCUAACCACGAAUAGAUCUAUAGUUUUUGCUGAAAUCUGUAAUACUUCACAAAAUAACAAUUAAAACUGAUACCAUCACAUGUAACAAGUAUCAUACGCAACUUUCGAGAAAUAUCUACAAUGGGAUAUACAAGGUACCUUCGUUGAGUAAUAAUUGCCCACUUGCUUUUUCUCAGCAUUAAACCUGACACCCUUGGCAAUCAUGGAAUUGCAUCCACCGCACCAUAUAUUGAAAGGCAUCUCGAAUCUGUAAAGAAAGGGUAUAAAAUAUAAGCAUAUUAAUUUGACAGCAUAAUGAGCUAUACAAAUACACAAUUGGGUCUUGCACGGUAGAGUUAUGUAACAACUUUCUAAACAACUGAACCCAAGUAUGAGGUCAGAUAAUGCAACUAUGCUAAUGGUUUGAAUUGAAAAAAACAAAAAACAAAAUUUCCCUAAUCCCAAUCAGCAUAAACAAAUGCUUAGAACUACAAAUUUAUGCCUCGUCUCUCGCCUACUCACCUUCGUCCACUUCAAUAGUUUGCAAUGAGUAGAGCAGCCAAAUGAGAUAUGAAUAUACACGUACAUAAUAUGUGUCUAAGCGUCUGCGUAUCUGCUAUUGUUUCCUCCAGAAACUUAAAAUAAUGUAAAGAAUACUACAGAGAGAAUAUACCUAUAAAUAUAUUGCUUCCAAAUACAAGAGUAAGCAUUGCUGACAAACUUUUUCCAAAACAGUCAAAAAUUUCAUAAUACAUAUAUAUUAUUGCAUACAUAUAUUGUUGGAACCAAACAAAAUGGUUCCAAUUAAAAAAGAGUAAACAGAAAUUAUCACAUAUACAUAUAUAUAUAUAUAGAGUCCGGCUGAGAUACUAUCGAUAGCACCAAGCAUUUGGUGCUAUCAAGUUUUCCGCCGUUAGAUUUAACCUUUGACUAUUUUCACCCAUUAGAUUAUACUAUUAAACCAAUAACUCACUCAACCCUAGGGGGCCCACAUUAUCCUAAACGUCCAUUUUUUCAUCCAAGGGCCGAAAACCUAAUAGUACCAAAUGCUUGGUGCUAUUAAUAGUAUUCCAGCCUAGGUAUAUAUAUAUAUAUAUAUAUAUAUAUAUAUAUAUAUAUAUAUAUAUAUAUAUAGAGUCCGGCUACUAUACUCUUAUGAGUACGAUCGCCUUCGUACUCAUAAGUUGUUUUUGAUGAUAGAGCUUCCGAAUCGACGAUCCAUACCGUUAAAAGUUAUCUAGAGCAUUUAAUUUAAAACUUCUAGAAAUCAAAUUUUAUAAUUUUUCGAUAUCAUUUACCUUACGAUCAAAAGCUCACAAAAUUGANGAUAAUUUUUAACGGCCGGUAUAAGAUAUUUGCUAGUUUAACGGUGAAAAAGAAUAGAAAUAGAUUGAAUUUUUGAUAGAAAAUUCUAUUCACUACCUAAAUAAAGCUCAAUAACUCCAAUCUUAAAUUAAAGGAUCCGAUCAUCCAUUUUUAGGAUGUCGUUCGAUUUUAACCGUCCAUUUUAUACCCGCUUGAUAGAAUUUAUAAUGAUUUCGAAAAAUUACGAAAUUUAUUUUUUAGAAGUUUCAAAUACUAUAGAUCAUGUUUAACGGUGUGGAUCAUUGAUUUGAAAAUCCCAAUAUCGAAAACAACUUAUGAGUACGAAGGACUCUAUACUCAUAAGAGUAUAGUAGCCCUACUCUCUCUCUCUCUCUCUCUCUCUCUAUAUAUAUAUAUAUAUAGAGCUAGGCUACUAUACUAUCUAUAGUACCGAGCUCCGGUACUAUAGUGUUGGUUUUCGAUCUUAGGACGUUCAAAUCAACGAUCAACACCGUUAAAACUGAUCUAGGGUAUUUAAAUUUUAGAAUAAUUUAACGACAAGUAUGACAAAACUAUUUCAAAAUUGUCACUACAUGCUAAGUACUGAGUUGGAGUUAAAGGGUAGAAAUAGCUAAAUUUCUUCAAAAUUUGAUAGAAAAUACUUUAAACUAUAUAUAAUUAAGGUUAACAUUCUUGAUUGAUUUAAACAGUCCUAUGCGCUCAAAUUUUAAAGAUAUCAAUUUCCACCGUCCAUUUUGAUAUAAUUUAUCUUACUAAUAAACGAUAUCGAAAAAACUAAAUAUUUAUUUCUAAGAAAUUCAUAUAACCAAGAUCGAUAUUUAACGGUGUGAUCGUUGAUUUGAACGCCCUAAUCAGAAACAGAACACUAUAUACGUGAGCUCGGUAGCUAUAGAUUAGUAUAGUAAGCUAAUUCAUAUAUAUAUAUAUAGGGUAUUUGCAUACACGUCCCUACAAAACAUAGUGAAAUUGUAGAAAUAUCCCUGCAAAACGAAAAACUCCAUAAGUAUCCCUGCAAAAGUCUAAGUUAUGCAGAUAUGUCCCUGCCGUAAGUACUGUUAGAAAAUUUUCGUUAACCACGGUUAAAGUACUUAACCAUGGUUAAUUAUAAUGUAAAUUUACGAUUCUACCCUUCUUCUUCUCCCCCCUCUUCUUCUCUUCCCUCUUCUUCGUCGCCGGCGAGGGCGGCGGCGGCAGCGGCGGCACGCGCGGCGGCGGAGGCGACGACGGCAGGCGGACGGCGAACCCAUCUCUCUUCUUUUCCUCCUUCUUUCCUUCUCUUCCUUUUCUUCCCUUUCUUCUUCCUCUUCCUUUUCCUCUUCCCUAUUCUUCAUUCGCCGGCGAGGGAGAAGAUCCGACGGCGGCAGCGAAUCCUCUCCCUCUCCUCUUCUUCUCCUCUUCUCUUUUCUCUUCCUCUUCCUCUUCUCUUCCUUCCUCUUCCCUCUUCUUCGUCCUGCAGGAGAGAGCAUGGGCGGCGGCGCGUGCGACGAACCCUUUCCCUCUUCAUCUUUCUCUUCCCUCUUCCUCUCCCUCUUCCUCUCCUCUUCCUCUUCCUUUUUUUUCUUCCUCUCAUUCUUCUCUUCCCUCUUCUUCGUCGCCGGCGAGCUCGACCCACGCGUCGCCGCCAUCCCCUCCGGCGCCCGAAGAGGAAGAGGAGAGAAAGAGGGGGAAGAUGCUUUUGGAGGGAUAUAUUUGUGAGCGCAAAAUGUCAUUUCACAUGAAAACUGUUAAAAAAUAAACAGUUCUCUAACAGAUGUUAAUCAGAGGGACAUAUCUGCAUAACUUUAGACUUUGCAGGCGACAACUAUGGAUGUUUCCGUUUUGCAGGGAUAUUUCCGCAAUUGACUAUGUUUGCAGGGACCUGUAUGCACUCAACCCUUAAUAUAUAAUAUAUAUAAUAGAGUUGGACUGGGCUACUAUUAGUAGCAAAAUCCCAUUGUUGCUACCAUUUUUAGCCUUUAGAUCAACUCUUUUCAUUAUUUCUAACCAUUGAUUAAAUACUAUAACCCAGUGGGGACCACUCAACCUAGGGAACCACUCAACUCUAACCGACUAAUAUUCAUCCUGACCUACAAUUUUUCAUCCAAGGGUUAAAAACUUGAUAGCAAAAAGAGCGUUUUACUAUUAAUAGUAUUCCAGCCUAAUUCUAUAAAUAAAUAAUAUAUAUAUAUAUAUAUAUAUAUAAUAGGCCAUGGCUACUAUACUAUUAUGAGUAUUGAGCACCUCGACUUAUAAGUUGUUUUCAAUGAUGGAGCUUCCGAAUCGACGAUUCACUCCAUUAAAUAUGAAUCUAGAGUAUUGAAAUUUCUAGAAAAUAAAUUUCGUAAAUUUUUAAAUCAUAAUAAAGUCCAUCAAGUGGGCAUAAAAUGAACGGUCAAAAUCGAACGACGUCCUAAAAAAGGAUGAUCGGAUCCUUCACUUCAAGAUCGGAGUUAUUGAUCAUUAUCUAUGUAGUGAAUAGAAUUUUCUAUCAAAAAUUCAACAAAUUCCGAUUCUUUUACGCCAUUAAACUAGCAAGUAUCCCAUACCGGCCGUUAAAAAUUGUCAAAUUUGUGACCUCUUGAUCGUAAGGUAAAUGAUGUCGAAAAAUUAUAAAAUUUGAUUUCUAGAAGUUUUAAAUGCUGUAAAUAACGUUUAACGGUGUGGAUCGUCGAUUCGGAAGCUCUAUCAUCAAAAACAACUUAUGAGUACCAGGGCGAUCGUACUCAUAAUAGUAUAGUAGCCGGACCCUUGGUGCUUCUAGGUUUCUAACCCUUGGAUCUACUCCUUGAUUACUAAUAGCCUUGGAUUAAGCACUAUUCCACCUUCCACCACCUACCACCAUCAUCUCAACCCUACAUCUCUCCAUCCAAUGGCUAAAAACUCAAAAGCACCACUCCCUUGGUGCUUUUGAGAGCAUUCAAGCUUAACUAUAUAUAUAUAUAUAUAUAGAGAGAGAGAGAGAGAGAGAGAGAGAGAGAGAGAGAGAGCUGGAAUGCUAUCAGUAGCAAACGGGCUCCAUUGCCACCCAUUUGUUUUCGAUGAUGAGCCUACAAAUCGGCGAUCGGCACCGUUGAAUAUAAUUUAUACCAUUUGAAGUAUUUAGAAACCAAAUUUCAAAUCUUUUCGACAUCAUCGACCUAAUGAUUAAAGGGUUUCACAAUUUGUAAUUUUAAUGGUCGAUAUGAGGCAUUUUCUAGUUUAACGAUGUAAAAAUAUCCAAAUCAAUUGAAAUUUUGGUUAAAAAAUUCUUUAAACUAUUUAAAACAAGAUCUAUACUCUCGAUCUUGAUUACAAGACUCCUAUCAUCACUUUUUAGAGGAUAUUCAUUUUUAACCGUUCAUUUUUGUGUCCACUUGAUGGACAAGAGAACAAUAUCGGAAAAGCAUGAAAUUUGAUUUAUAGAUGCUUCAAGUGGUAUAGAUCAUGUUACACGGUAUUGAUCGUUGAUUUUGAGGCUCCAUCAUCGAAAACAAAUGGGUGGCAACGGAGCUUGUUUGCUACUGAUAGCAUUCCAGCUCAACUGUGUAUAUAUAUAUAUAUAUAUAUAUAUAUAUAUAUAUAUAUAUAUAUAUAUAUAUAAGAAAUAUAUAUAUAUAUAAGAAAUAGUCUAUAAUAUGCACUAUUCACAUACUAUUAAUAGUAUCCUAGCUGGACUCUAUACGUGCGCGUGCACACAGAAACAAACUGACACAAGUAAUUUCUCUACUCAAUGCCAGAUUCGAAUACUUAAGAACCAUGACAGUAACAUCCCUAAAAUUUCCACAUAUAAAUACAACCUUAGAACUUAUAUAUUAAUCCAGUUCUGAAUUUUCCUAUCUUCUUAUUCGUUAAUUUAUCUUGAACUCAUAAAUGUAACCUAUUCUUACCUCUGCUCCAAAUCAUCAAUUUUCCAUACCAAUUUGAUUUGUAAUUGUGCUUACACUCUUUAUAUUGGACUUACAUUUAUGAAAAAGUUAGCCGGGAUUCUUGGUAAUAAGCGAUCAAGUCCCUCGUAGUGCUACAAACUCUACCUUCUGAAUUGGAGUUCUUGGACCAUGAUAUUCUUUUACACCACUCUGAAAACUCAUCCUGCUUACAUAACUGAUCUUGCCCAUUAAAAUGAUUAAUCUUGCACAUCAGAGUGAUGGCCCUCAUCAUCCAACUUGCAACUUCAAACCUUACCAUCUUCAAGAUAAUCCUUGAGGUACUAACUUUAUGUCAAAGAUGGUCUCAAUAAUCAUCAUGCCAACAACAUUCAUAAAACCUUCACCCUAAAGGAAGUUGGCAUAUUUGAUGACAAAAAGCUUGACAUUCAACUAUUGGGUGCUUGCAUAGGAUUAGAGAGCAUUUACUGUGUUCUAUAGGGCAUCCAUCCUCAUCACUAGUUCUUCAAAGAGUCAGAUAAGCACCUCCAAGAACAAUGAUAACAAUUCUUAACUAAAAAACUCCUGUGCCUUGUUGCUAAGAAAAGCAAUUCUUACAUCAAAGAAACUCAACAGUAGCACGCCUAGUACUUCUUCUUGCUCCUCAGUUUCAAAAAGGUGAUUCACAUGCCUGUAAAUUAUCAACUUAUCUUACUCUGACACCAAACUUGAUUUAUCCCACAUCUUGGGGAGGAUUUCAGUAACCCACUGGAUAAUGGAGGUUUCCCAACCACCAAAAAAAAAAAAGAAAAAAAGAUUGAGACUAUUUCUUUGCAUAAUGGAUGAAUAAAUCUGAUGUUUAUCGAAACAUGCUAGAUAUGCCAAGUACAAUUAGGUUGCGUAGCUUAAUACUGAAUGAAAAGAGAUUAAAGGACAACAUUCUUCAAACAAACAAGGUGAGAGAAAACUAACUUUAUCCUGCAAAACUGUAGUACAAGAGCGAGGAAGCGUAACCCCCUUAUUUUAUAGAUGGAUGACAAAGGAGCUAAAUCAGAACCACGACUCAAUUUGCUGAAGUUGACAUAAUAAUCUUUAUAACAUAAGACCUAUUCUCAGCUAUUUUUGAACAUUCAGAAACAAAGAAAACAAGAUAUGUUUUAUGUUUUGAUAGCAGAUGGAUUAUGACUCCGAUUUCACAAUGGAAGAUGAAUCAUUAGCCUGUUUCCUAGUUCUACAGCUUGAAUGGUAAAUUCCAUUAUUAUUCAUCCAAUAUAAUCAAGGUAACGCCAAAUCUUAUAGGACAUGAGUUGCAGGAUUGAAUUGAACUAAUAUAACUAAAGUGCUUUAGAACACCUUGAAUUCAUCAAUAACCAAAACAGGCACAAAGGAGCGGAGAGGACAGAGAAACAAAGAGAAUCUAAAGAAACCCUAAUGACCGCUAUCGAGAAAGGCAGCUACACUCCAAGUGUAUAAAGGACAGGUUGGUAGCCACCCUUCUCAUUAUUAUAAAAAUAUCACACUUAGAUGAAUUUAAAAUACAAGAUAAAUAUGCCUACUUGAAUGAUUUAUCCAAUUACAACCCAUCUGAAUCUAAUAGACCUUGGGAAACCAAAAAAGUAGUCUAGUGCAGCAAACCAAUCAAAGGUAACUGACAACCAUUGCUGUUAUAUAAGUCCUGCACUUCAAAGUAUCGGUCAUCAAGAAUUAUAGGACUGCUAGUCAGUUCUGUGGAAAUACAUGGCAAGCCUCUUUCAUUUGAUGACUGGAUAAUUUUAAUCUACCGGUGUGAAAAACUCAUAGUUGUGCUCAUUCACAAUCAUACGAAAUGCAAGAUUCUGAAGUCCAUUAUCAUAACAACUACUAGGUUGGCAACAAUAGACAAAUGUUAGAGACCAUCAAAGCUAGAUUGAUACCAAUUAGUAAGCUUAAGUCAACAACUACAACAUCAACAUCAGCAAGGCAAACACAACUACACAAGAUCGCCUAGAGAUAACUAGUACACUUUGGUUUACCCAGUGAGAUUUCAUAAGUCACAUACUUUUUAUAUAGUA
rnacentral:lncRNA from 1 species